rnacentral:lncRNA from 1 species
UUGGGAUUCUGUAACAAAAACGUCAAAUUAAAUUUUUAUCAUAAAUUCGUCUUCUUAGCAAAAAUUUGACACAACCACAAGAGAAAAAAAAUCAAAUAGAAAAUAUUGGUAAAAUAAGAUUCACUAAAAAAAAGAAAAAUUACACCUCACUUAUCUUUUAUACAGAGUAGCUUCAACUCCAGCCCUCUUUUUAAAUCUCUUUGUCCCCAUUUGUCUUAUGUAAAUUAUUAACCUACAAAACUUCUCUCAUAUCUUGUGCACUCAUGCACAAGAUAUAUCAAUAACUCACGCCUAUGAAAAGUCGCACACAUCCUCUUGCACCCACUUACUUGGUGCAUCUAAGUUUUUUUUUUUUUUUUUUUUUUUUUUUUUUUGAGAAUUAGGUAGCGAGUUACCUGCUUCAUUUGGUGCAUCUAAAUUUAUGACCAUUUUGGCGAGGCCACAUGCACAAAAAAAAAAUCUAAUUAAUAUUUAAAUAUUAAUUAAUUUAUCUUCAACGGAUUAAAAUAUUUAUCCUAAUUUAAUUAGUAUUCAACUAUAAUUUAAUCAAAUCAUAACAUAAAUACACCUUUCCCUAUUUUAUUUUACCUCUGUUAGCAGGAGGCACAAAUUGAUGACAGCAUGUGCGCAAGAAAUCCACUCAUUCAAUCUUCAAUAAAAGGAGAGCGCCAUCCCAUCCCAAACUUUCAAACUGAUCCUCCGAUCACUGCAGUAAAUUUCUCUAAACCCAGCUGCAGCACACAUGUGUGUCGUUAAAUUCUGAACCCAGCGAAUAUAGAAACAUUUUCCCCAUAUUUUGAAGAAAAUAAAAUUCCUUUUCAGAGGAGAACGUAGAAACAUAAAGCCCUGCAUCUACUACGAGUUGUCGCCAAUGCCCCCUAAAAGUUGAUGGGGCCAGAUAUUCAAGUUUCUGUGAUCCCGUUGAAAAAGCAAAAGCUAACACACUCAAUUUAAUAACUGCAGUUAUGAUAGCUCCAUGUCCCCUAAAUUUGUGGAGUAGUGAAAAGUGCAAGAACUACAGAAACUAGCAAACAAAUUAAUUGUGUUUAUGACUAGCCUCCGUCUUCCUAAUAUUUACAUUUUUCAGUUUGUCCCCAGCCACUCAAUUUUUACGGUUCAGUCCUAACAUUAAACAUGAAGUUUUCUAAUAAAUACCCAAAAACCACCCAACAAGGUCUUUCCAAACUAGCACUUUAUUUUCAACAAAAAAAGCACUCCAAUAAUUAACUGAUGGAGGAGUCCGGCUACUAUACUUUUAUGAGUAUUAGUUUUUUUAUAUUCAUAAGUUUUCGGUUCUUAGAUUUAUUCUAUUGAUCAUUUGCACCCGUUAGAUCAUACUAUUCAACCAACUAACCACUCAACCCUAGGAGACCAUUAUCAUUUUAAGUGGGGACCACCAUCAUCCUAACCACACAUUCUAUCGAUCAAAAGUUAGAAAUUUAUGAGUAGAAGGGGGUCUAUACUCAUAAGAGUAUAGCCCAGCCCUGAUGUAGAUACUAGGAACUUAAUUGUAAAAUUAAUAAGUUUGCAGGGGCUCAAGUAAGAACUGGACUAAUAAAGCUGCGGAGAAAGAGCUAUGCUCUUUUUACUUAUUCUGUUCUUCUCAAUUCUGCAGUUCAUUUAUUGCCAGAUCCUCGAGCUUUCCACUAAUUACGCCUAUAUUUCACUUUUCUCCUACUCUCUCUCUCUCUCUCUCUCUUUCUCUCUCACUCUCAUCCCCAUCAUUAUUAUUACGACAACAAAAAGGGAGAUCCUUUUCCCUCACAGCUUCUCUUCUCUCUCUACGCCCUUUCUCUCUUCCUCCCCUCCAUUGACAGAGAGAGAGAGAGAGAGAGAUGGAGGGAGGGGAAAAAGGGGUAGCAAUCGAUGAGGGGGGCGUGGUGGGGGACGAUGAUGGUGUCGGGGCAAAGGGGGAGGAGGAGUUUUUAGGGCUCAAGCUGAGGAGGGGGAUCGCGGCGGGGAGGAGGAGGGCGGGGCCGUGCACGCCGGUGCCAACCUGGAAGCUGGAGGACUCCGCCGGGCCCCCGCCGCACGCCGAGGCCGCCGCCGCCGCCGCCGUCGCCGCCGCGCCGCGGCGGAGCUCCGUCUCGGCGCGGAAGCUCGGGGCCAACCUGUGGGAGAUCCACGACGUGCUCCCGGAGGCGCCCGGGAUGCGGCGGCGGAGCCACCGGAUCCGCCGCCAUCACCGCGAGCGCGGCGCUGGCGCCGGCGAGGGACUCGACGACGAUCGCCCCGACCACUCGCCGCUUAACCCCAUCGAUAGGGUGAGAUUUUGGUCGAUUUGUGCGAAAUUGGUUCUCUUUUGGGUUAUUUUCAUGCGUAUAAUGCAUGCUCUCCCAAUUAAUUCAUUGUACAUCUCCUAUCCCAACGAACAGUUUAGAAACGCAAAAUGGAGAAGCGAACUGGGGAAAUGGUAUUGAUCUUUGAGGUGAUCAACUUCCCCAGGUUAAAGCAUUACAAAAUAAUUGUAACUUUUUGAUGAAAAAGAUUCAAAUCUAUAAUGCGGAGACAAAGAUUGAGCCUUGAGAUUAAUUAAUAAACUGAGGAGGUCGCAGGAUCCGUCUCAUAUAUAUACUUUACGAACUAAGUGAGGUUCUUAUAUUUCUCGGCUUACAAUUUCCAUGGCUUGAUUGAUUGCUCUGUGAAAAAUGUAGUUGCGUUAUUUACCCGAAAAGUUCCACUUUAAUAUAAUAUCUACCCUUGGAAACUGUUGAUUUUUGGAGAACAUCUUUGUGAGAGGAGAGCACAUUACCUACUGUUUGAUCUUCUUUUUGCAAUGAACACCUUCUCAAUAUUUUUCGCUCUUGCAGUUUCUCUUGUAAGAGGCAUAAUCCUUUGAUGGAAUCCUUCAUUUGUUUACAAGAUAUCUGGACUUGAGUCGAAAUGUAAUCCUCCAUAUGAAAGAGUCUGAUCGACCUCUGAAAACUUGCUCUUUGGAGUUGGAUAUUCGCCUUCAAUAUUUCCCACACUUGUGCUUUUGUCCUCAAAAUCUUUGUUUUGUCUCAACUGGCUCUUCCGGAACUAUUUUUCUUCUUCUAAAGUUGACUUGCUUCAAGCACGAUUAUGUUGAUCAGCUGAAAUUGAAACAUAGGAUAUUCUUCUUACAGGCAACUAAUCAAUGUGUUGGAUGAUGGAAUCAACUAAUCGUGUGCACAGUUAUCAUCGUGAACAACCUGACAAUCAAGAAAUUGAGCAGUAGAAAAAGGGCUCUUGCUGUCUCUGUUAUUUUGUGAAUGUUUUGUAGCCGAUGUGAAGACAUAACCCUUCUUUGAACAUUUCUGACAUCUAUUUCUCUAAUCAAUCUUGAUCUCCAUUAAGAAGUUGCAAAUCACCCUGCAUACUCUGUGAUACUAGAUGCUUGCCGAUUCAAACUCAAGUUUGCAUUUUCAUUGUUGGAUCUAGAUAAAAAAGAAACAUCAUAUUCCUAGCAUAAAGACUUAUAUUUAGAAGGGAGGAGAAAACAGUUGCCAUGAAAUUUUUGUGGAGACAAAACUGAAUUUCCAUCAUCAAUUGAAUUUACUCCAUAUAUUGGUAACAGCCCUAUCCUUGGCAUGUUGCAUUAUUCCACGCUAACUUGAAGUUUAGUUAUUCGGUUCACUUUGUUCAAUGUCUCCCUGUCAUUCGCUACUUACUAUAACAUUGAUCACUUCAGCCGCAGAGUUGUGGUAGUCUGAGGAGAUAUAUUGCGUCAUCAUUGAUCCAACAUCACAAGGUGAAUGAAAGGAAUAGUCGAGCCCUGCAACCUAUAUCUCCUGCAAGUUAUAGUAGCUCAAUGGGGGUAAGUGUGUAAAAGCUAUCUUUCUCUUGCUUGCUAGUUUCUUGUUCACAUGUUAAGGCAUUUGUUUUCGAAUGAUAUAAUUGAGACAUAUUUGAACAGAAGAAUAGUAUUUUUACCUCGAUGCUUGUGGUCAUAUAAUUUAUAAAAACUGACAGUUGGGAUUUUCUUGAGAAACAUGUCAAAUUUUCUUCUAAUUGUUUAGCUAUGAUAUUUUUUGUGCUUAUCACAAUAAUAUCAUUGAUUGUAGUAGAGACAUUGGAAUAGUGAGUCUACAUGCAGUGAGAUAGUGUCAGACCUUUCAUGUUUGGUGAAAGCAUUGGCAGCUUAAAGUAAGGACUCCUUCAAAAGUGCAUGUUAACACUGUAAAAUCAUUAAUUCAAACACAAACACAUUAAGGCAUUUGGAGUCCGAGUGUGUAUCUUACAUGGUUUAUUACAUGUUUGGGAGGAUAAUUGAUGUCCCACACUAAAUGUAAGAAAUUAUUUAGCUUAAGCUGUUUUAUCAUUUAUUUUUUGCAUGCCUGCUGUAUCUUAUUUGUUUCUUGCCAGGUAAAUAAUUCAUUUGUGUUUGAAGAUGACUACCAAGUUAUUUUGGAUGCAAAAUUUGCUAUUUUAGUUUAGUAUGCUGGUGUAAACAUCACAAUUGAACCUCUCUUGAGGAAUAAUAUAAUUUUCGCUUCCAUGUCUAUUCAUGUGAUCUCUGCUUUUCUCAGGUUGCUGCUAUUAAUCAAGCGAUAACUCCUAGUAGUUCUUUGGAUCUCCACAGAAGGCCCGAGGGGGCAUAUAGUCUUAAAACAUCGACGGAAUUGCUGAAAGUUUUGAAUCGAAUUUGGAGCUUGGAAGAACAGCACACGGCCAAUGUAUCGUUGGUUAAAGCAUUGAAAGUAGAAUUGCAAAACGCACGUGCCCGUAUUCAAGAGCUUAUGCAAGAACAACAGAGCUACAGCCAAGAAGUGGAUUCAUUAAUGAAGCAACUUUCAGAAAAUAAAGUGAUUCAGAAAAACAAAGAGCGAGAAAAAAUUAAAUCAGCAGUGGAGUCGAUGCGAGAUGAGCUUGAGGACGAGAGGCGGUUGAGAAAGCGUUCUGAGAGCCUUCAUAGAAAACUAGGCAGAGAGUUGUCCGAAAUAAAAUCAGCAUUCCUAAAGGCCGUGAAAGAUUUGGAAAUGGAGAGAAAAGCAAAUCAACUACUUGGAAACCUUUGUGAUGAGUUUGCGAAGGGAAUCAGAAAUUACGAAGACGAAGUGAGGGAUUUGAAGCAGAAGACUGGAAAGGAUUAUGAAUAUAAAUUUGAUAGAUUAAUUCUUCAUAUUUCUGAAGCAUGGCUAGAUGAGCGAAUGCAGAUGCAAAUGGCUGAAUCAAGGGGAGAUUUGGUUGAAAGAGAUAACUCGAUCACGGAGAGAUUAAGUGGUGAAAUCCAAGCUUUUCUUCAAAUGAAGUGUUCAGCUAAUUCUAAGGAAUAUGAUGCGAAUCUGAUCGACAGAAAAAGAGAGAUUAACUUGCGGCGCCAAUCUCUCGAGUCUGUCCAUUUGAAUGGGCCUACGAGUGCGCCGCAGGAUGGUGAAGAUGACGAUUCUAUCGCGAGUGAUUUGCACUGUUUCGAACUUAACAUGGGCGAACAUGAAAUCAAGAGCCAUGAACAGCUAAAAGGAACUUAUGGCAACGGCGUAGAAAGGUUGGAUUCGGCAAGGAAAUCUUACUUCCGAGGGAAAAAGAUAGAGUUUCCUGAAAACAUCACAGAUCAAAGUGCAUCUAGCUCGCAAAUGCUUAUUGGGCAAAAAGAGAAGAAAGAGUCAGGCAACAGAGUACAGAAUACUACCUCAGAACAUGGUGCUCAGAUCGGAGUCAGAACACUCAAGAAUGAGAUUAAUAUGGACCGUAAGUUUGAAGAAAAUCAGUGUCAGGAAGGUGACGCGAGCAUAACACCAGAGCAGAACAAUGUUCAUGGAGCGAGCCGCCUAAGUGAAAGUUUUGAUUUUGUAGAAUGGAAGGCUAGAUUCGGCGAAGGAACCAGUUCAGAAGAUUUGCACAACCACCACCCUCCGUCGUCCAAUCUCGAGAUAUCCGAAUCCUCAUCGAAACUAUCGCAGGGCGUGAGAGAGAACACUUUGAAGGCAAAAUUACUUGAAGCAAGGUUAGAGGGGCGGCACGCCCGUUUGAAAGCUUUGAGAGGCUCUUCAAUUACCCGAACGAAGCAACAAACAAAGCCAUAAAAGGUACCACUCUCUAGGGCAAAGAUGUUGCAUGUUCUUCUGCAGCUCUCUCUUUCCUCCAGUAGUUUUGGAAAUUCUGUAUAUGAUGAGCAACAAAGUAUGUGGAGGACUACUCACUACCAGCUUUACUACCAAGUAUAUUUUGAUUAGGAUUUUUGAGUAUCGUGUAUAGUAUCGGACUCAAGUAUAUAACUUUCAUUUGAAUGAUAUAUCUCCCUUCUUUAUCCAUAUUUUGUUGUGCAUGUAGUUAACUGUUUUUACUAGCAGUAAAAACUAACCUUAACAUCUUCAAAUGCAUGCCCUGAAUAAUUUGCUAGUUACGCUUCAGAGAGUAAUUCUAAAUUGGUAUCAACUGAUGAUGAAAUUGGAAACUGAUUUGUUGGAGGUCAACUUUCUCAGAGAACGAUGGAGAAUACUGAACUUAAUUUUCUAUUCUAAUCCCAUGUUAAAUUACAAUGAAACAAUCCUUGUUCUUAGUUUAGAAUAAUAUUGAUAAUAUUCUAUGAUCAACAUCAUGUAUUACGGACAUUUCUAUAAGCCUCGUAUAUCCGUGUCUUACAUGUGUUUGUAUCUGACACGUGUCAUCAUGUAUUAUGGACAUUUCUAUAGGCCUCGCAUAUCCGUAUCUUACAUGUAUUUGACACGUGUCCGAUGUGGACACUUUUUGAAGGCGCGUUCAAUGCUGAUUCGUAGUACUUAUAAUUAAAACAAUUGUAUAUAUAUAUAUAUAUAUAUAUAUAUAUAUAUAUAUAUAUAAAAUGUAAGAUGAUAAAUAUUUUAGUUUUUGAUUAAUACAUAUAAAUUUUUUUUGAUAAUAUAAAAAAAAAAGUAUAUAUGGUGGAGAAUUUUUUUAAAAAAAUAUAUGAACUAUUAAUAAAAUUUUAUUAACUUUCGGUAACUUUGAAAAAUAUAACAAUAUUUUAUAAAAAUUAAUAUUUUAUAUAUAAUAAAAAAUAUUAUUAUAUUAAUAAUUUUAUAUUUUAUUAGUAAUAUACAUGUCGUGUCCGUGUUUUAAUUUUCUGAAAGCUACCGAAUUACCGUGUUCAAGUUGAAUCGUGUUUCGUAUUUAGUGUCUAUUUGCCUACCUUCAACAUCGAAAAACAGAAAAAAGAGUCGCAUCAGUUUAGAGGUGGGUGCUAAUUCGUAUUACGUGUCUAUUUGCCUACCUUCAACAUGUAGGCACUAAAAAAAGGGGAAAAACAGAAAAAAGAGUCGCAUCAUUUUAGAGGUAGGUGCUAAUGGCGGACAUCGUUGACAAAUAUUGCGCCCGAUUAGUCGAGUGACUUACUCGGGUGAAAGAUCCACCGACAAAAAUAAACAGUACGAAGGCUCAAUCUCAACAGUUUAGCAACCUUUGAUUAAAACAAUAAGCAACAGCGACGUGAAUAAUAAUAAUAAAUGUUUUACAAUCACAUCAUAAAUAUAUUGAUCGAGAUGCGGAUUAAAUUUGGUCUAUUUCUUCGUUAAUUUUCAGUUUUGAAUAACUGGAACAAGUUUCCGAUUAAACUCGAGUAGUUUGAAGUAACUUAAUUUUUCGAUCAAAGAAAAAGGUAAAAAAAGGGGAAGGAAAAAGAAAGAAUUAAAGAAGAAGCCGCUCUAGCUAUGAGACAUGCAUGAAAGGAUAUUUUGUAUGUUCAAAUAAACGUGAGUGUGGCUUCUGGGAGAUAAUUGAUAUUAAUUAGACUACUAUGUUUUGAUUUGCAGAAAAAAUGUAUUAUAUAUACUAGAAAAAAAAAAUUAUGUACUACAAAUAACACUUCGUUCAUUUUUAUACAUAAUAUCACUUUGAACAUAUAUAUUAUAAUUAGAGUGCAGCUAGAAUACUUAUAGAAGCACGGAGGGCUCCGUGCUUUCACUUUAUUUUCGAUGUUCGAACUUUCGAAUCGAUGAUCGGCUCCGUUAGACUUGAUCUAGAGUAUUUGAAGUCUAUAGAAAAUAAAUUUAGCAAUUUUUCGAUAUCAUUUGCCCAGUGAUCGAAGUGGCUCAAAAUCAACGGCUGAAAAUAAAAAUCUUACAAAAUAUGAUGAUAUGACAUUAAAAUUUUAGAUCAAAGUUAUUGAUCUUGUUUUAUAUGGUAUAAAGAAUUUUCUAUCAAAAUUUCAUGUAAUUUGGAUAUUUCUACACCGUUAAACUUGCAACCGGCUCACUACGGCCAUUAAAAUUAUUGAUUUUGAGCCCCUUCGAUCACUAGGCAAAUGAUAUCAAAAAAUCACAAAAUUUAUUUUCUAGGUACUUCAAAUACUCUAAAUCAACUCUAACGGAGCCGAUCGUCAAUUCGAAAGUCCGAACAUCGAAAACAACUUGGAAGCACGGAGGGCUCCGUGCUUCCUUAAGCAUACCAGCCCACUCUUAUAAUUAAGAGAUUACAGUAUAUUUUUUAUGAUCCCACCGUAUAAUAAAAAAAUACAUUUUCAUAUACUUGCGCCACAAUUUGGUUUCACAAUAGAUGGAUCUUAGCACCCACUACCAUUUUUAUUAUCUACCAAAUAAAUAUAUUAUGUUUUACCAAAUUAGAUUGUUUUGCCAUGUGAACAAGGUAAAAUACAACAUAAAUAUUUUUAAAAACAAAGGUAUAUAAUGUUGUUAAUAAAACUAAUUUAGUUUCAAAUUAUAGACGAAACUAAUCACGUUAAAAGCCUUGGUGAGACUAAAUUUGAAAAAAUACUUUUUUUACAAAUAUAAGUUAUAUUCACGUCCUCCCAAAUUAAACUUUUUCACCAACUAAGUAUUAUUCUAACAUUUUGUAAGAUAUUUUAAAAUUUAUUUGUAAAUUUUGUGUCCUACUUUAAUUGCAUUGGUAACAUGCAUUGGUAAUAGCAGGGAAACAUGGCACGUAUAAAGGAGAGCUUAUCCUCACGUAUAAAGGAGAGAUUAUCCAUGUAGGUUACAACGUCCAGUAAUUUACAUUUCCCAGUAAUCCAACAUGCAUAUAAAAUUUACUUUUUUUUGAAAAAAAGUAGCAAGCUACCCGCUUCAUUCAUCAAGCAAAAUAAAUUUGGCUAACAUGAUGGAAGCAGCUAAGGCCUCCUAAAAAAGCAGAAAAGAAGGAGAAGAAAGAACAAAAAGCGAAAGUACAGAUCGAUCUAGAGAGACAUUAAGUUAAAGAAGUCCAGGCAAUCAUCAAGUUAGAUACGCGCUGAAGAGCCCUGGUAGCAUUAGGAAGGUAAUGAUUGAAGACGGUGUUGUUACGUUCCGUCUAGACGACCCACCAAAUUGCCGUCAUGUUGGUUAGACGUUUCGUUCUGUUUGUAACGUCCGGGAUGUUAGAAUAAUUUGCCCAAAGAUGUCGCACGUCUCCCGGUCCAAAGUCAGUUGUGUCGGAGAAUCCCGAGUUGAAAAAUAGAUAUCUGGCGAAAACACAGUUGCAAAAGAGAUGAUCACAACUUUCUGAGGAAAUAGUACAGAAAACGCAAUGCUGAUUCACGGGGCAGCCUCGAAGAAGCAGUUUAUCGACAGUGAGAAGUCUUUUGCGAAGCAAUAACCAGAUGAAGAUUCUGAUUUUGACCGGAGCGAGUAAACUCCAAACGUGUACGUAUGUCGAGUCUCUCUAUCCUGCGUCAUUAAUAAAGUUGUAUGGGGAUUUAACAUGCAUAUAAAAUUUACAAGGCUCUGAUUUCCAGGCCACAGAGAUGUUGCUUUUCCCUACUCCCGUACACUCCCUACAAUUAAUAUUAGCUCCGAUUAAAAGGCCAAUUAUGGUUACAACUAAAAAGAAUGCUUAAUUCUCAUGCUAAAAAUCUUUUUCCCUUUUAAUUGUUAAUUUUUUUUAUUGAUCAUAGAUUAUAUCUUUUCAUUUUACAAAUAUAUGUAUAAGAAAAUACAAGCUUUGUAUACCAAAAUAAAAAAAUUUAAAUCUUGCACCCAUCCUAUAAAAAAGUACAAAAUUUCCAGGCGUUUCCAGAUGUAGAUAGCAUUGCUCGUGUGUGUGUGUGUGUGUCUAUAUAUAUAUAUAUAUAUAUAUAUAUAUAUAUAUAUAUAAAGCAAAGAAUGAACAUAGAGUUUGACUGCAAAAAUAAAAGAAAUUUUUUUUCAGAGUUUACAAAGCAGACUCUUUAUCAUAUUAAAGCUUAAUUUAAUAUUAAGAUAUAUUUGACACUAUUAGAUAAAAUUAAGUUAGAAAAAAAACAUAUAGAAAUAUAUUUCUAUAUUUGUCCAUAAAAUCAUACAAAAUAUAUCAUAACCGAAUCACCAAAUCAUUGCAAUAUGCGGUAUACAAAAACAAAUAGAUUAUUUUUCUAUCGUACUUUUAUACCGCACGUAACACAAUUUUUUCUUAAUUCCAAACAAAACCUAAAUACAUUUAACACCUUGUAAUGAAAAAAAUUUUGAAACCAUUUUCAAUUUUUAGUAUUAAAAGUAACAAAUAAAACAAACAUAUAAAAAUGAGUCUUCGAUUGUCGAAAAUAUCUAUCCCUUAAUUUAUAAUCGUGUGCACAAUAUUAAAUAUAAAAAUAUAAAAAUAAUUUUUUUUAACAUUUUAAACUUUAUCCGAUGAUAAAUAAAUAAGUACAGUUGUACACUAAAAUUUUAAACUAAAAAGUUAAACCGGUAAAAUAUAAUAUUAUUAUAUUUAAGAGAUAGCCUAACCUUUCGAGGGGAAUAAAAAAUAAAAAUAAAAAAAAUAAAAAAAAAAAAAAGCUCAACACUUAUGUUUUCUUACUUAACACGUCAUGUUCUCGAAAAUUAAACAAUACUUUACGUAGCAUACCAAAAGACUCGCAUCGCUUUCGAGUUUCAUAAUACUCAAAUAACAAAACUGUUUAUCCGAACACAAAUAUUUGAGAAAAAUUGCAGUGUGGGGAAAUUAAUAAUACCGAAGAAAAAUAACUUCGAAGAUUUAUUCAUCAGUUUGAUUAGACAGGAUAGAGAUUUAAAUCGGUCCAAAUUAAUGUGCCUCAUUAUUUCCUAAUAAAUACGAUUAAUCUUAAUUAACUAUCCAACUUUAAUAUGAAAAAUACAAAUCCAAGUAACAGCAGCUUCAGCUAAUAAGCCCUGGUAUACUUCCAUUACGUUGCACCUGCACUAUCAAUCCUCCAUUAAUAUCUUCUUUUUUUAAUAAAAACUGGAAAAAAAAAUUAACCCCAGUUAAUUUUAUUACAAGCUAUAUACACAUUACAACAUACACAGUUAAAAAGAGUAAAUAAAAGACCAAAAUACAAGUAUCUCAACCUAUUAUACAUCACAAUAUAUAACAUAAAAUUAAACAGCCUACGAUAUAAGCUGAGACUAGAAAUAAAAUAGAAUCUUGUGAAAACCUAAAAAUAUUCCCAUUAUUUUUUUUUCCAUACAGCAUUGGAAAACCUAUCAUUUCGAAAUGGCUAGUAAUCCUUCGCUAGUAUAUAAUUACAAGUAAACCAAGCCUAUAAACAUAAAAAACCAAAGAGAAACUUAAUUAGAAGCAAAACAAAGAGAACUACCAUACUAAAAGAAAAUGCUAAAUGGUAACAGGGAAAAAAGAUGCAAAUUAAUUGCAGGUAUCAACACAAUACACCAAAUAAAAAUUUUGCUUCGACAAAAAAAAAAAAACAAAGAAAAAAGAAAAAGAGGAGUUACACCAGUAAAAGGACAAACUUUUGGGAAGAGUACAGCCUAGCAGAUUUGCAACAAGACCACCACAAUUUGCGCAUGCAAAACAACAAUAGACGACAAACUUCUUGCAAAUGGCCAAUUACAACAACUUCUAGCAAAUGACCAGUUACAGAAGAAGAACAAAAUCAUCAACCCAAAAAUUUUCCAUGAUAUUAGCUGGAUAUAACAGAAGAGGAUGUUAAAUACUCUGGUUCCAAUGUGUCAAAUUAAAGAAGCAAAAUGCAAACCAGAUAAUGUAAAUCCACAUUCAAAAACUUUGGUAACACGGCAAUGAUCUAUACAUGAUAUACAGCUCAAGUCAAAAUCUAUUCUGCAGAUAAGAGUUUCUUCUUCCCACGGUACAUAGAGAAAGAAAAAGGGUGCUUUUUGACGCUACAUCUGCACUACAACAAAAAUGGUCUAUAGCGACACUUUUAAAUGUUCGUACAGGUCAAAAAAAGUGCUGCUAGCUAAAUUACCGACAAUUUUAAAAAGUGUUGCUAUAUUUAGGAUCACUAGGUAUAUAGUGACAGUUAAAGAGUGUCGCUAUAACCUAAAAGAAUGCUGCUAAUUUACCAACACUUAUUUAAGUAUUUAGUAACCGCCGAAACUCUAUCUUGUUGAUUGUGGUGACGAAGGAGGACGACAGGGAAGGAUUCUUUGUCUAGAAUUUCAGUGGAUUGAGUGAAGAGAGAAGGGGAGAUAGUAAUCGAUUUUUCUUUUUUUUUUCUGUUUGUAAUCGGCCCAAAUGGGCUGGAUGGGAUGAGUUGAGUAGAGUAAUCUUUUAUUUUUGGUUGGAUUGGACUUUAUAUUUAGGCAUUAGUAGAUGUUUUUUUAAAUUUUAGCAUAAAUAGGACACUUACAUAAAAGUGUCCCAAACAUGUGUCCCUAUAACCUAAUUCUGUUGUAGUGCUGGCCGAUUUGUACAUACCACUUAAUUAUUAUCAACUCAAACAAACAAAAUCAUAGCAUACCAAUAAUUAUUAGCAAUUCAAACAAACAAGAUCAUAGCAUUAAUUAAUAUCCUACUAGCUAUUAUUUGAUUGAGACUAUCUACGAGUUAAUGGAAUUUGACUUUCUUGAAGUCAAUAUGCAUUUGCAAUAAUUAUCAUCAUUCACAAAUCUCCAUUUUCUGCAAAAACUAUAGAGGAAAUUAAUGGUGUGAAAAGAUAAUCGUUGUUGAUCCCAUAACUAUUCUUUUACAGGAACAACACCUAGGAUACAACUCAUAAUAUAUGAGCAACAUAGCUUAUUUAUCCAGUAUUCUAUCACGACUAUCAAAUAUUAACAAAUAUGCUAAGUUUUUAUCCAAAAGGAAUUAAUAACUAGACUCGAUCAGCACGCACGUUGAUGUCGAUCUCAAUUAGCCAUAGGAGGUGAUUAGUCACAGAAGAAGGAAAGAAAAAAGGUAUAGCGACUCUGCGAAAUACUGUGCUUCUCGAGCAAAUUCAAACAAACCCAUACAAAAGCAGAAGUAAACUACGGAAAAUUAUCAGUUAUAUAGAGACCAACUACAAGAGAUAUGUUUUCACAAACAUGUAAAGACCGGUGAAUAAUUAGAGAGCCAAAUAGUGCUAAAAUAUUGUUCCUGUAAGAGUUACAAGACAGGCAGCUACCAAACAAGAACAUACAUCGAUCGAUCAUAUUCAAUAAAGAGACGACAAAAUAUAAAGGAAAUCAAAAAGGUUGAGAGGUAAACCAACCUGCCCACAUGCAUUGCCACAUGAUCGAUUGAUUUCCAUAGUCAAAGCCAUCAUUUAUGACCUUGCUUAGUUAGGGCAAUGAAAUUAAUAAGAACAAUGCAAAGGAAUUAACUAGGUGUAAAUAAACAAGGCAGGGUAUAAUUUCUCAUGAGAAGAAUAUAUUCCUAAUUGACUGAGAUAAUGAUGAAAAAUCUUCAUUUAACAUUUUGAUCAUAUAUACUGUUUUACCAAGAAAAAUGCGACUUGAUCACACUUUUACAAUUUAUAUAUGUAAUCUUACCUUUACUGUUUACUAAACAAGGGGGGAUUAUAAUUAUCGAAGUAAAAUGUCAAUAUUAGGCUUAUUGAAAAAAGCAUUUAGAGAAGCACUCCCCAGAAUUUUUUUUUUUUUAAGGCAGCUUAUAAAGAGAGUACUUACAAAAUGGUGACAAAAGAAUAUGAUCAGUAUUUCACAGGAUAUCCAACAUUCCCAUUACCGCCAGCAAAAGAUGGAAUGCAUGUUUUGCUAAAUGUGCAAAAAUUAAGAUCAAGUAAAAAGGCGGAUGCACUAGAAGAAGAUAAAAAAUCCAUCUCCAAAUUCAGCAAUAAGAGCCAAGCUUACAGUUUGGUUAUUACAUUAUUAUGAUCACCAGUAAGAAAAUCAACUUAGUAAAUGAAUAUAGCAAAAUUUCAAGAUAUAAAUGGUCAAAUAACGCGGCUCACUUAUAUCUAGUCAGGUUAACAACCAUACCAAAUAAGUUGCAGUUCACAUUGAAAGAACUAACAAAAAACAGUUGCAAGAUACAAUAGAAAAUAGUGAACAGUGAUUACCAACAACAACCAAAAAAAAAAGUUAAGAAUAAAAUAACAGCAUGUUAUAAGUUUUUUAAAUAGAUAAGAAGUCACCUGAAGUAAUAGGACAAAGAAAACUUUAAGUUAACUUUAGAUACAUGGCAUAAUUCGAGAACCUUGACUGAUUUAAAGCAUUCAAAUCUAGGAACUUGGAACUAUAAUAGCAAAACUCGAGAACUAAAUAAUUAAAGUGUAAACUGAUUCUCAUUGAAUUCCUACAACGCUAAAGCAAGGCAUUAGGGUUUCCCGAACUACUGGCAACAAAAUACCCUGAACUAAUAUAUAAAACAUUAGGGCUUCCAAGCACCACCCGCAAAAAACACUUAAUUAAAAUAAUUAAAGAGAAAGAGAGGUAGGGUCAUAUAUUAAUCUAUAUUUAUCUGAGCGUCUGAUGUAUAAAACGGAAAAAAAAAAUAAGGCGAAAAAAAUAAAGGAAAAAAAAAUCUGAUGCUAAAAUUAAGGAGUUGAAGGUUAAAUGCAUGCAAGUUUCAGAGUAAAAUGAAGACGCAAAUAUUUAACAGGAAAAAAAAAAAACCACAGUUAAUAUACAAAACUAUUAAGGAACGUACUAGGUCUUCAAAACUAUUUCUAUUGUUAUUAAGAUAUAGAAAGAUGGGAAGUAAUAAACUUUAAAUACUUGGGCAUAUAUCUGAAAAUACUUCUUUUAGAGUUAAAAAAAAAAAAAAACAAAAUCUAAUAAUAAAAAGGGAGUAAUUUCAUAAUAAAAUGCCCCAUACAUAUAAAAGAAAGAAAAAAUAUAUAUACGCGGAAAGAACUCGAGGAGCUUACAAGAUAUAAAAGCAGGUUAAACGCAAGGGAGGGGGAAAAAAAAUUAAUAAUAAUAACUACAAACUUUUAACAGCCAAAUAAUUUUCUAGCUCAUUGCUUUCAAAGAUAUGCUAAAAAGGAAAUAGCAGUAAUUACAAAAUGUUUACGCCUAAAAUAACCCAACUAUAAUAGGCACUACGCUGACACUGAAUAAUACUACAGAUACAUGGAUAUGAAUUUUUUUUUGAAAAAAAAUACCCUAAAGAUCGCAAAAUACAAAACUUAGAAAGCUAAAACAUUUGAGAUUCAUAGUAACUAAACAAUAAAUUCAGAGUAGAAGACCUAGAGGAACAAGGCUUCUAGAAAAUUCAAAGAGAGAGAGAGAGAGAUAGAGAGAGAACUUGGGUUUGGUAGAACAUGGGGCUAUAUGCAGUGAAGAAGAAGGGAGCUCCCUUCAGUCCAAGCAAGGAUGGCGUAGGAUCCAACUCAUCUCCCGCAUCAUUCACUCAUUUACCAAGCAAAGUGCACAUCUUUUUUGAUCACUUGGUAUGUGGAUGAAUGAGUCGGCAGCUAGUUCAAUCCCUCAACCGCCCUUGAGUGGGCUGAAGGAAGCUCUCUUUUCAUGUUUUGACGACAACAAACCCACCCUUAUAUAUAUAUAUAUAUACUUAAAACAAAGAACAAUAAAUUGCUACUGUGGCAACAACAUAUAGCUGCAAACACCAACCAGAAAAAAUGAUCAACAUAAGAGCAUGGUAAUGGAUGUUUUGGUGCUCAAAGAGAUGGGUGUAUAGUUGGGAGAGAUGUUUGAGAGAAGUAAAUUAAUUGAAGCCCGUUCUUACAACCUACAGUAAAACCCAUGAGCAGGUGAGAGAGGAGCUCAAAAUAAAGAAUUGUUUUAGUACCACUAAAUGCAACAUGUAGCAAUCAAAAGCCACGUGUAACCCCCCUCUCCAUGCUUUCCCAUAAAUAAAUAAAGAAUCCAUGUGAAAAUUAAAGGAGAAAAAAGAAAAACCGAGAUAGAUCAUAGAUAUAUCCAGCUAGUGUAGGAGAGGAAGUGAUAUAAUACCCUCAUCAGAAACAAAAGGAAGUGAGAAUGAGAAGCUCAAUGUUUGAAACAUGCGAAUUAAAGAGGAGGAGAGAUCAAGGAUUUGGUCGUGUUGCGUCGUAAUCGCUCUCACUCUCUCCACCGACUACAAACAGGGUUGAUUUUAAAAUAGAUAUGGAAAAAGGACGUUAAAUAGCGAAGCAGGCUAUAGAUGACAUCACAUCAUGCUGGAAAAAGAGAAAAGGGAAAAAUCGAAAAUGUCAUUUUCUCUCACAUGUUCACUUGUCUUCUUAAGUAGCAAAGAGAAGGCAAUUAUAUAUGUUAACUUAUUUGUUACUUAAGCAACGCCCAUUUGUGCAAAGGUUCUCUUGAUUUUGGACGUGUGUAUUGUGUGAAAAGAAAGAAUUAAAACGUCCCCAGCAAGUGUUAUAUGAGUUUCUUUUGAUUAUUCUUAAAACGCGAGGACUUCGAUUUUUGGUAUACUCACAUAUUUUUUAUAUACAAAUUAAUUUAGAAUAAUAACUAAUAUAUCGGUUGGUGAGUUUUUUAAAAUUUUAUUAUAGAUCAUUAUUCAGCUUGUAUUUUAUUUUGAUCAGAUACGGAAUAACAAUUUACUUAGAAAAUCACAAAAUGUUAGAAAAAAUUUUGUUUCUAAUUUUUUUAUAUAUUAAAUAUGUUAUAUUCGAAGACUAUGCAAAUUUUAUAAUUCACUCUUACCCUCUUUUAUACAAAUAUUCUAUAUAAGAUUAUUAUACAAAAGAUGACAUAAAUAUAUAUAGCAUUAUAGUUUUCUAAAAAUAAUAUAGAUUUUACAUUUUACUCGUCAAUAAUUAUUUUAUUUACACUCACCAUACUAAUAAUUGACUUUUUUUAAUUCCGUAUCAAGAAUCUAAUAAAAGAAUAUCUAUAUCAAAAGAUUGUGCGGUACAUAUUCCAAUUCUAAGCCUACAUAAAGAAUCGAAUUGAAUCCCUUAAUCAUCUAUUCUAAGGUAAAUUAAUGUUUGAUAUACAAUAAUUAAACAGAUCAUUUUUACAUUUAUUAUUUGUUACUAUAUUUAUAUUAUAUUAUAAAUAUAUAUAAUUUUUUUAGCAUUUUGUUUACUAUAAAGAUAAAAUUUAGGCUCCCUGAACUGACGAGGAUAGUAUGAUUAAAAGUUUGAUUAUUUUAUAUAUAUAUUAUUAAUUAAUAUGGAGUUUGAGUCUACACACGUGAAUCAAAAAAUUAAAAUUCCUUUUAAAUAUCAAAUUAAAAAUUAGAAAUAAGACAGGUGAGUAGAUAUUAGCCUUUCAAACAUUAGAAUGUAAGAUUUUAUACUUAAUUUUAAAUAACUAGGCUGGAAUACUAUUAAUAGCACAAAUUACUUGGUGCUAUUAAGUUUUCUGUCCUUAGAUUAAAAGAUUAUGUGGGAUUAGGAUGAUGUGGGCCCUCUAGGAUUGAGUGAGUAGUUAGUUGAAUAGUAUAAUCGAACGGAUGAAAAUGAUAAAAAAAAGUAAAUCUAACGGCAGAAAACUUUAUAGUACCAAAUACUUCAUACUAUCGAUAAUAUUCCAGCCGGACCCAAUAUUAAAUAUAUAAAUGGUAUUGCCAUUAAAAACAAAGUUUAGAUAAAUGAGUAGAUUCUAACCGUCUAAAUAUUAGAAUGUAAUUUUAUACUUAAUUUCCAAAUGUACAAAUAGUAUUGCUAAAAAAAAAUAUGAAGUAUGUAUUAAAGAAAAAAGCAAAAAUAACAUGAAAAUAAUGAGUAAAAUAAUAAUCAUAAUAAGAUUAAAAAAUUAGCAAAAAAAUAUUACUUAUAUAUAUUGCUAAACGAUUUAAAAAUUGAUUCGGAUCUAGUUAAAAGUUUGGAUUAAUUUCUUUAAUAAUCAUCUGAAAAUUCGUAACAUUAUAAAUAUUCUUUCAAAUUAUAAAAAUAUUAUUUGUAUUCUUAUAAAUAUAAGCCGUCUAGAGUUUAUGCGUUAUAUCUGAAGUUAAUUUGGACUUUGGAGAGAUAGUUGAGAUAUAUUAUAUGUAUAUUGAGGGUGAUAUAAAUGGCAUAUUUUUAAAUUUGAAAAGAUAUAAGUUAAUAAUAUUAAAUAUUUGGAAGGACCUUCCAAGUCUUGGAGAUGAAAUUUGAAAAGUGUGGAAAGAUAAGAUUCACACUUUAGGGUGCAUUUGAUACGUAUUAUGAAAGAUUAAUUACUAUAAAUAAAAAGAUAUCUGAGAAUUUUAUUUCUAUCUAUCCUAUAACUAAGAAUGUGACAUUUCUGUGUUUGGUUCGCACGAUCAUAUUAUUUAGUCAUAUCAUUUAAAAUUACAAACAAUAUACGAUCAAUUUAUUUAUUUUUUUAAUUAAUUUUAAAUAAUGGUACCAAAAAUUUCAACAUUCUUUUAGGAAAAAGGGAUAGAGAAUAUAGGUUAGAGAGAAAGAGCAUAAUUAAAGAAAUAGAAAGAGAAAUAGAGUCGAGGAAGUGAGAAAAUUGAGAUUUUAGAAAAAAAUAGAGAAUGGGAGCUUGGUUUAGUGAGAGAAAUAUAAGUUUAGAGAGGAUAUGAGAUUAGAGUGUAAAGAAAAAUAAUACCAAUUAACCGACGGAUAGAGAGAAGGAAAAAAAAAGGGAAAACUUCAAAACCCCCCCUGUGGUUUCACACUUUUUCAUUUUAGUACCCUGUGGUUUGAAGUGUAUCAAGUUAGUACCCUGUGGUUUCUCACUUAUCACUUUAGUACCCUGUGGUUUAAAAUGUAUCAAGCUAGUACCCUGUGGUUUUGCACUUUAUCACUUUAGUACCCUGUGGUUUCACACUUUAUCACUUUAGUACCUUGUGAUUUAAAAAACUAUAGGGUACUAACUUGAUACAAAAUUAAAACCACAGGGUACUAAAGUGAUAAAGUGCAAAACCACAGGGUACUAACUUGAUACACUUUAAACCAUAGGGUACUUAAGUGAUAAAGUGAGAAACCACGGGGUACUAACUUGAUACAUUUUAAACCAUAGGGUAUUAAAGUGAAAAAAAUUGAAACCACAAGGGGGGUUUUUGAAGUUUUUCCGAAAAAAAAUUAGACAUAUUAUGAUUACCCGAAUUUAUUAAUGUGAGGAUACUCACCCUCUUUCGAGAGAAUGAGAUUAGUAUUUUGGGAUGAAUCUCAUUCCUAAAUAAAUUUAAUAUUACUAAUUAGAUUACUUAAUACGUUUAGCCAAAUAUUAUUAUAUUUUUUAUUUUUAUUAAAUUAUUAAAAAAUUUAAAAAAAUAGCGUGAACAGCACUCUUAAAUCAUUUCUUUUUCUUUCUUAUUUUUGUUUUUUCACUUUUUGCACGUAGAGAGGUAGAUUCAUUCACACUCCAAAUUUCCCCGUGAUGGAGUACACGCAAAUUAAGUUACUAGUCCGAAACGUUCCCAUCCAAGGGUCCAAUCAAAUCAUCAUCAGAUAUAGAGUCCAACAUGUAACACAAAUACGAAUAAACGAACGCGUAUACCGGGGCCUUGUUUUCGUGUGUAGCCAAACGAGCCUACAUGCAAAAUAGCCACGCAACUGCAUUCGAUUCGAAUGUAAAUAAAAAUUAUUUAUUUUAAAAAUAAAUAUAAGUUGAAGUAUAAGUAUAAAUUAAAUUAAAUUUUUAUUUAAAUAAAAAUUAAAUUAUUUAAAAAAUAAAAUGAAUAGUAUUUGAAUGAUUAGAUUGAAAUAAGAGGAUUAAAAGUUAUAAAUUUAAAUUAAAAAUAAAUUAUCUAAUUAAUUAAUGUAACAAUAUUAAUUAAAAAUAAUUUAAUAAAUUAAUAAAUUUGUUAGCCACGAAUGAAUAUUAUAAUAAUUAAUAAUUUAAUAUUUAAUAAAUAUAAAUAUUAGUUAAUUAUAAAAAUAACUUAACUUUUUAAUUAGUUAGUAAAUUAUUUUAUUUAAAUAAUUAGUUAAAAAUUUAAUAGAUUAAUUAAAAUGUUAAUAGUUAAUCAAUAUAAUCAUUGGUUAUUGAAUAAAUUGAUUAAAAUAUCAAUCUAUAAUUAGUUUAUUAAUGAUAAAUAACAAAUAAUUAAUUAUUUUACUUUUUAAGCAAUAAAUAAUAACUUACAUAUAUUAAUUAAAUUAAUUAAUAAUUAAUAUUGUAAUUAAAAUUAAGUUAAAUUUUAAUUAAUCUUGUUCCUAUUUUGAAACAAGCUUGUUUCAGAGGAAGGGAGCCAGGAGCCAGAGGGUAGGGUAGAACAACUCAACAAGCUUGUUUCGAAGGAGGAGAGUCAGGGGGUUGUGUCAGAUUCACUACAAUAAAAUAUGUUUUAGAUGACUCUCUAUUUUAGCUUCUCUAAUAUUUGGUACGUGUCUACAUUAUAAUUAAAUGUCGACAAUAAAUAUAUUUUUAUCAGAUAAAAAUUUUUCGACGCUUUACUAAAGUGUCGGUAUAUUUAUCCCGACAUGCAUGUUUACUUAAUGAUUAUUUACCCGAUAUUUUUAUAAGAGUCAAAAUUAUUCUUACUAAUAUUUUAAAUCAUCGUUAAUUAUUAUUCAAAAUAUCUUUAAAUAAAAAAACUUAUUAUAGUAGUUAUACCAAUUUAUUCUAAAUAUGGGAAAAUUACUAUCGUCGUGUAUUAAAAAUAUCGUUUGAGAAAAAAAAAAAACAAAAAAACUUAUUCUUUUCUUUGUUACUAAGCCAAACGCUACUACGGGAGAAAUUCUACACUGUUAUGCACACUUGCACCACAUUAUUAAUAAUAAACUAAUCUUUUUUUUUUUCAAAUAAAAGUAUAAUAAAAACAUCUUUUUAUAAUUAUAAUAAAAUAUAUAUUUCUAAAAAAAAUAUUUAAUUAAUUUGUUAUGCGAUGUCACCAAUAUAUCCGUUACAUUGAAUUUUUCCUACUACGGGGUUGUGCAAUUUUUAAUUUUUUUGUGGAAUCAACAAAAAUAUUGUACGUAUGGUUUGCUCGCGUCCAUAGGGAAAGGACGAGGGCCGAGGGGGGUGUUGUCGAUCGCCGCUGCUAUGCCAUCAAAUCAAGAUCAAAUCAAAUCUUUUUUUUCUUUUUUUUUAUUAUUAUUAUCAUUUUUUUAUUGUUGAGAUUCUCUUCACCCACCUGCAGGCCGUCUUUUCAAACCCUAAAGCCUCUCUCUCUCUCUCUCUCUCUCUUUUUCUUUCUCUUUAGUAGUUGUCACCACCAUUAUUUACAACAAUUGCAAUGCUACUUCUCUCUCUCUCUCUCUACAUGUCCAAUCAAUUAAGGGGAAAAGGAAAAGAAAACUAGUGAAUGGGACUUUUCCAACCGGGCCAACAACAGCUUUGUGUUUGGUGUUUGAGGACGAAAGGGUCAUGAUCCAUCACGCCAUGAGUGCAAGGCGAGAGAUAGGAGAAGCCCUAAUCCAUGGCAUGAACCCUGGUCUGUAGACCAACUUGUCUACGUACUAAUAAAAGCCUUAUAAAUGUAAAAGAUGCGCAUAUUUGUUAAAUAUAAAAUUAUAUAAAUACUAUUUUAUAACAGUUUAAGCUUUUAAAAUAUAACUAUUAUUUCACUUGGUAUUAGAGCGGGGGUCCUGAGUUCAAGUCAUGUCAGGCACCAACAUAAUUAAUUUUCUUCUAUUUAAUUCAAGUCCACGUCACAAACUUUACAAAAAAUCUCGAGCCCUUGCAACGGUUGUUUCACCAUAUUUAUAAUACAAUAUGUAGAAAUUUGAUGGUCAAAAUUACAUUAAAAACAGCAAAUAAAAUGGCUUUGCCUUUUAGUAAACUAGAUAUUAAAAAAGUGGUUUCUUUUAUAUAUACACAAAAAUAAUUUACACACGAGUAUAUAUACUAAACAUAAAUUAUAAUUAUUUAUAGUAUUAAAAAGGUCUCAAAGUGUGUAUAGAUGACUCGGCGUAAUCGAUUCAUGUAUUAACUUAGUUCUCGUAUGUUUUUCUAUUGAAAAUUAUAAUUUUUUAAUAUUUUUUUGUAUGUGGUUAAUAGUGUUGAUUUCUACAACAAGAAAAUAUAUGGACGACAGAUUUUUUUAAAAAAGCUAAGACUAUCAUAUGUAAAUUAUCUAGUGGUUAUUAGUUAUUAACAUAUUAAGCAUGAGUUUUGUAACUAUUUAUAAUUAAGCUGUUAAAAUUAAUAAUAGUUAUUAUAUUUUACUCUAGUUGAUAAGAUUAGAAAUUUUGGAGGCCCCGGUCUACAGGAGGAAUUCUAUACUGUCACACUUGCACCACGUCAUCAAAAACAAGCCAAUCACAUUCCUUCUUUUCAAAUAAAAAUACAAUAAAAAUACUUUUUUACAAUCAUGAUGGGACAUAUAUUUUUAAAAAAAUUAAUUUGAUUGGUUUAUUACGCCACGUCACUAAUAUACUCGUUGGAUUCUAGAAUUUUUCGGUCUACAGACCCUGGUCUAUGGUCUAUGCAGAACAUUUUAUGCUCCCACGUACUGUGUCCUCCACGUGGUUUGUGAAUCCGAGCUCGAUUUAGGGCUUUGUUUAGUGUCAACGCGCUCAAACAGAGGAUGGCUAAUGAGUUGAUUGGUUCCCUUGGUUGGUCGAACGUAGGGUUCUUUGGACAUGCUCCCCACGUGUAGUGUUGGUUUUAUUGCAAAUUGAGUGGUUUUAUUAUAAUAAUAAUAGUAAUAUAAAUGGCUUUUUAGUUUAUUAUAUAUAUAUAUUAAUAUAUUAAAUUAUAAUAAAUAAAUAAAUAUAAUAAAACUGCAGUUGGAAGUGACGUGGAGCCACCACGUACACUUAGAUUUGUGGGAUUUUUUUUUUCUUUUUUGGAUAAAUUACCCUAAUAAUAACUCUCAACCUUUUUAAAAUUUUUAAUUGAUUCUAUAUAUAUAUAUAUAUUUUUUGUCAACUCAGUCUUUAAUCUGUAAUUUUUUUUUUACUCUUCAGUUAUAAUUAAUACAAGUCGACUGGGGAAUGCUGACGCGGUACUGAAUUAAUUAUAACAUAAUUAAUUUUUUGAAUUAAUAGCACAAUUUAAGAAAUUAUAAUUUUUUGUCAAUUUAAGAAAUUAUAAUUUUUUAUACCUAAAAAAUGAUUAACAAAUUCAAUGGUUCUGUUAAUUUAUAAUUUAACAUUUAAUUGAUCUCAUUUUAUUUAGUAAAAAAUAAUUAAAUUUUUCACAUUUAAUAAAAUCAUCCACAAAUUUUAGCUAAAAUCUCUUUUUUAUUUCUAUCAUUUUAAAUCCAAAAAUAUAAAAGGUAAAAAUGUCUCAAUUAAAAAAAAACAACGUUAAUUGUACAUCAAAAAUGAAAUAUAAAUUUUACACCGUCUUAUCUAAGGAAAAAUUCUAGAAUGCAACGGGUAUAUUAGUGACGUGGCGUAACAAACCAAUCAAAUUAAUCCUUUUAAGAAUAUAUAUCCCAUCAUGAUUGUAAAAAAGUAUUUUUAUUGUAUUUUUGUUUGAAAAGAAGGAAUGUGAUUGGCUUGUUAUUGAUGACGUGGUGCAAGUGUGACAAUGUAGAAUUUCUCCUUAUCUAAGACUCUAUAUUUGAUCUUUAUUUUGUCAAUUUAUUAAUAUUAAAAAUUUAAAAGAUUUCUGAAUCCAAAGAUGACUGGCUAAGAUUUUGAAUCUUUUUUUGAGUGUAAAAGCAUAGUACUUUUCAAACUAAAAAAAUAUUAAAAUUGAAGGGAUCAAUCGAUAAAAAGUUUUAGCACUUAAUUGAAAAUUUUAAAAAAAUUUGAAGAUCAACCAUUCAAAAAAAGUUUGGAAAAAGGUUAGAGAGCAAUUGCCUAUUAAUUAAUCCAAAAAAAUUAUGCCAGGUCAGCACCCACAUGUCGAUUUCUGCUGGUUAUAAUAGAAGAUUGACAAUGGACAAUACAACAUUAGGUUAUAGAGACACAUAUUUGGAAUAUUUUUGAGUAAGUGUCUCAUUUAUGUUAAAACUUAAAAACACAUCUACUAAUGCCUAAAUAUAAAACUCAAUCCAAUCAAAAAUAAAAAAUUAUUCUACUCAACCCAUCACACCAAAUCCAUUUGGCCCGAUUACAAACAGAAAAGAAAAAAAAAAUAAAAUCAAUUACCAUCUUUUCUUCAUUCUUCACUCAAUCCACUGAAAUUCUAGACGAAGAGCCUUUACUGUCGUCCUCUUCCGCCACCGCAGCCAACGAGAUAGAGUUUCGGCGGUUGCUAAAUGCUUAAAUAAGUGUUAGAAAAUUAGCAGCACUCUUUUAGGUUAUAGCGACACUCUUUAACUGUCACUAUAUACCUAGCGACCCCACAUAUAGCAACACUUUUUAAAAGUAUCGGUAAUUUUAGCUAGCAGCAUUUUUUUGACAUGUAUCUAUAUUUAAAAGUGUCGCUAUAGACCGUUUUUGUUGUAGUGAGAGAUUCAGUUGAAAAAAAAUUUCUACAAGUUGGGAACUCAAUUGAAAAAAAAAAAAAAAAAUUGAGAACCCAAUUUUAAAAAAUCAAAAAAAGGUACAGGACUAUUGAUGUAAUUUACUCUUUUUUUAGCCCAAUUUUGCUCUCUCCUGCUCUCACUCGGUUUCCAUUAAUCUCUUUCUCAUAUUUUAUUAUACAUUUUAUUUUUUAAAUAAUAAAUAUUAUAAAAAAUAAUAAAUGACUUAAUGGUUGGUAUUCAAAGUUUCGAGUUCAAAUCCUAAUUGAUUCACGUUCCCAGCUAAAUUUAUUUUCUAAACGAAAUAAAUAUAGAUAGCAUAUUACUUUUCUCUCUCAAAAAAAUAAUAAAUAUUAUAAAAAAUAAUAAAUGACUUAAUGGUUGGUAUUCAAAGUUUCGAGUUCAAAUCCUAAUUGAUUCACGUUCCCAGCUAAAUUUAUUUUCUAAACGAAAUAAAUAUAGAUAGCAUAUUACUUUUCUCUCUCAAAAAAAUAAUAAAUAUUAUAAAAUUAAAGUUUAAUUUAAUAUAUGCAAUCUAAAUAAUAUGAAGAAACUAUAUGUAAAAAAUUAUAAAAUUGUUUUUAAUUAUAUUUUAAAAAUACAAUAUAUAAAAUUUACUUCUACACUCGUGUACAGAACAUUUCUUCUCCACAACUUUACUUUUUUUCCCCUCAACUGUAACAAAUUAUUGCCAAGCCCCGGUCUUUUGGUGCAUAGCAUGCACUACUUAGUUUUUAAAAUUAAGAAAAACUUUAAAAACCCCUCAUGUGGUUUCGUACUUUUUCAUUUUAGUAGUUUGUGGUUUAAAGUGCAUCAAGUUAGUACCCUGUGGUUUCGCACUUUCUCACUUUAAUACCCUGUAGUUUCAAAUGUAUCAAAUUAGUACUCUAUAGUUUUAUGUUUGUACUAAAUUAAUACUCUGUGGUUUUAUUUUUGUAUCAAGUUAGUAUCCUAUAACUUUUAAACUAUAAAAUACUAAAAUGAGAAAGUACGAAACCCUAAACCCUAAACCCUAAACCCUAUCCUGCCACUCUGGCCUAUCACCAUCAUAUCCCGUUGCCUCUUUCUCUCUCAUUGUAUUAUGAUUUUGAGUUUUUCUCUUUCUCUCUAGUAGUUUUUUUUUUUUUUUUUCCUCUUGCAUGCCUAUCAAUCUUUAUAUUCAUAAAAACUCACUUAAUUUCUCUCUCGACACUUGUCUGAAAAUGGCAUUGGCAAACUGAGAGUAAAAUGAGACAACAAAUAUACCUUUGCUCUAUUAAUAUAUUUAUUCUUCUUUUGCUGGUAUUAUUAUUGAUUCUCUUUUGCCCUUUGUUUUUUCAAAUGACUUUAUUUGUGUUGUUGUUGCUAUUGCUGGUUCUUCUUCAAAUUUCUUCUUUUAUUUUCUUAUUCUUUAAUGUUGCUANUUUUUUUUUUUUUAAUUGAGGAUUUGUGAAUGUCCAUUAAUUCCUCUCGGGACUAUCGAAAAAAAAGCAUCCUCUCCCUCUUUGCUGGUAAGAGAUCAGAGCUCAAUUAGAUUUGAUAUAGCCCAUCAUCUAGUGUUUCCAUUUCACAUGAGCAACAAUAUCUUAAUGACUAUAUCUAAGAUUUCAAAUUCCAAACUUAAUCAUUUGAUACUUUUAAUAAAAUUUGCUUUUAAAGAUAAGCGAAAAAUUUAUCAUGCCGUCUCUCUAUUGAAAAAAAAAAAAAAAAAAAAAAAAAAACACUCUAUGAUUCCAUUUUGUUCUCCAUGGGACAAAUAAAUUGACGAUAAGCACAUAUCAAAUUUGAUCUAAAAUUCUAAUUUUCUAUUUUCUUUCCCUCAUCAUCUGCUCUAAGACAAUUUAGUGUCGAGGGAUAUAAUGCCACANUUUCAUUUGAGAGAUUCAACUAUAUAUAUAUAUAUAUAUAGAGUUGAGCUGUAAUACUAUCGAUAGCAAACGGGCACCGUUGCCACCCAUUUAUUUUCGAUGAUGGAGCCUCCAAAUCGACGAUCGGUACCGUUGAACAUGAUCUAUACCACUUAAAGUGUCUAGAAACCAAAUUUCAAAUCUUUUCGAUAUCAUUAGCUCAAUGAUCAAAGGAUUUCAAAAAUUGUAAUUUUAAUGAUAGAUAUAAGACAUUUUCUCGUUUAACGGUGUAAAACUAUCCAAAUCAAUUGAAUUUUUGUUAGAAAAUUUUUUAAACUAUUUAGAAAAAAAUCUAUGAUCUCGAUCUUGAUUAUAAAAUUUCUAUCAUCAUUUUUUAGAGGAUAUUCAUUUUCAGCUGUUCAUUUUUACUCCCACUUGAUGGACAAGAUAACAACAUCGGAAAACAUGAAAUUUGAUUUCUAGAUAUUUCAAGUGGUAAAAAUCAUUUUCAACGGUGCCGAUCGUCGAUUUGGAGGCUCCAUCAUUUAAAACAAAUGGGUGGCAACGGAGCCAGUUUGCUACCCAUAGCAUUCCAGCUCAACUCUCUCUCUCUCUCUCUCUCUCUCUCUCUCUCUCUCUCUCUCUCUCUCUCUCUAUAUAUAUAUAUAUAUAUAUAUAUAUAUAUAUAUAUAUAUAUAGAGUAGGGCUAGAAUACUUUUACAAGUAUCACCCAAGUGAUACUUGUGUGUUUUUAGCCAUUGGAUCUACUUUUUGAUUAUUAAUAGUUCUUAGAUCAAACACUAUUCCACCUACCACCACCUACCACCAUCAUCUCAACCUCACAUCUCUCCAUCCAAGGGCUAAAAACACACAAGUAUCACUUUGGUGAUACUUUUACAAGUAUUCUACCUCUACUAUAUAUAUAUAUAUCCAACCAUCCAACUCAUUUGAACCAGCAUGACUAGUCGGUUUACUUGAUGGGUUAACUGCACCUCUCGACCUGUUUGGUUUGAUAACGAGGAAGCCCAAACCUACUGUUGAUAGGAAGCGAGGCCCAACAAGCCCAACUAGCAAGGACGCAUGUCAUAUUUAUUUAAUCCAAUAAAAUAACGUCGACGUUCUUACUUUUGAGAUUCAGAAUCUCAUUUGCUAAGUAAUAUAUUUUUCUCAUCGUUGAGCAUUAAUUAGACUUAGACCAGAAUCGAAUGCUACAAAAGCGGGACCAAACAAGCAGUAAAAGUUGAAAUGAGUUUCGAACCAGAAUUAUAAUUUUUUUAGAAAAAAGGAAAGUAAAAGAAUUAAAAUCUGUUCAGAUAAGUUGGGCUUGUAUCAAGUGCGGUUUUGGCCCUGGGAUUUUGCUCCUAGAAUGGAACUUAACUUGGCCGAAUAAACUGUGUGUUUCCAGGGCGUUGCUUCGUAUAAUUUGAGGACGAGUUAAAGGCUUUUUAGCAUUUAUUUUUAAAAUUACGCAGAAUCUAUUUAUUCGACUAAGAGAUGAGGCAGAGUCAACGCGGGUAUGGAAAUGUGUUAGGGAGAUUUUUUUUGCGCUUAUCGUCUUAGCUGUUGACUUAUUUAAAUUAAAUAAAUUUAAAAAAAUUAGAUAAAAUUAUUAUCUAAUCAAAGGUAUGUAUUAUUCAUGCUCGUAUUAAAAUGUUAAUUAGAAAAAGCCAUUGAGAGACCAAUUUGGUAACUGUACAUAGUUGGUGGGCCUCCAUACAUUUUGACCAACUAACACUUCGUUUCUACUAGGAAUCUUCGCCUCGCUCUCUCUCUCUCUCUCUCUCUCUCUCUCUAUCUCUCCGUACCAUCGCGCGCGGUUUCGUCGACGGUGUUCGAACGAAAGGUUUAAAGCCACGUAAGUGAGGAUUUUCUCCGGCGCGGCGGCGGCGGCGGCGGCGGCGGCGGCGGCCUCCAUGGACUCCUCCGGGCUCCGACGUUCGUGGAGGUACCCCAAUUUGGGCGGCGGCGGCGGCGGCGGCGGCGACUCUCUCUCGACCGUAGAUUCCUGGGGAUUCGGCCGCUCGAGCGGCGAAUCCAAUUUGGGGAGCGCCUUCGACGCCGCCGAGUCCGCCAAUCGCGUGAUCCGGGUCGAGAUCGUGGCGGAGCCUCCCGCCGAGAGCCGCCCCGGCAAUGGCGGAGGGCUCCGCCGCCACCGGAAGCGCCGGAGCGACGAGGAAGGUCGACUCUUUAAGGAUUUUACUUAGCAUCUGUUUAAUCUCCGAAAAAGUUCCUUCUUUUUUAGUGGUUAAAGUUCCUCACUUUUCAAAUUCGAGGCAUUUGUUUGUUCUAAACAUUUCAUUGCCGAAGCAUGUGAUAUUUGUAUUAUGUAAUUCUAAGUGCAUCUUUAGUGGUUAUUCUUUAUUUCUCUCUGUGGAGUGCUCACUAAUGACCGUAAGAGAGUUAAAAAUUUGGUUUUUUUCUUGGUGUGCGCAUCAAUUUGAAUGAAGUAACGAAUUUGAGUGAAAGUUACUUGAUGAACUUUUUGUUGUCAUUUUACGGAGGAAUUGGUUUCGCUAACUUCCAUGAUUGAUAAAUUCUUUGCAAAUGUAUUAUGUGAUGUUCUCAACUGAUGGCACACUUUGUAAUUGUUGCUGGUUUAUUAUUAUGAACCGCAGAAUUUGAUUUGAACAAUUCCGAGCCUGAAUCAGAGGAAGAAUACGAGGCUUACGAAGAAAACUAUGACGACAAGGAGGCUGUAGCUCUGAUUGGAGUAUCACCACCAGGUAUUGGUCAGGAUGGAUGGCAUAACCCCACAUAAGUUUAUGCUAUUAUCUGAUUCCUAGGAUUGUAAAGGAUUUCAGAUAUUAAUUUCUAGUUCACAACAAUUGGUGAAGUUGCUAUUUUUGGCAUAAAUUUUAUUUGCUCUAAGUUGCAAAGCUUCCUAAAGCAAUUUGCAUCAGCCUUUUAGAGAGAAUUAUUUAGCUUUGUUUUGCUUAACCACUAUUUGAAUCUUUACAUACGGGAAAAGGCGAUGCUUCCUUAAAGAUCUUAAUAAUGUCCCCAUUUUCUAUUGACUUUGAAGAGUUUUUUCUUUUAGUUGGUAAUCACCUCUUUAGCUUUUUGUUUGUACUCAUUAACUAAUGGGGCAUGAUUUCUUGUAGGUGAUGAUUCAUCUUGGAGAACAGAAUGUUCUCAGGUUUUGAGAGUAAAGUCUAUAUAUAUCUGCUCCGCUAUAUUUGCUGCCGAAAGCCCCUUUUUCGACAAGGUAGGAAAUUGUUUUGCCUCAUGCAGCCUACGGAGUUUUAUCAUUUCAAUAAACCUAAUUGAGAUUUUUUUUUUCUUUAAUAUUUCUUUUCCGUCCUUAGCUUUUCUCGAAUGGCAUGAAAGAAUCUGAGCAGCAACAUGUCACCCUAAAAAUCAAUGCUUCUGGUAAGUUUAGAGGUCUGUCAAAUAUAUGUUGUGCAAGCUUGACUUGAUGCUUAUUUUCCUUUAAAGAUCUCUGUGUUUUUUGAGUUGUAUAUACUAUAUAUUAAUGCUUGGAAGUAUGUGCUCUCAAUAUUAAAACUACAAUGCAUCCGGCACAUGCUUCUUCGGUGGAGGUUCCGCCACUACUUUUAUUCAUUGGAGGAGCAGAGCUCCAAAGUACUGUCGGAUUUUUGGGGCGCAACAAAGGAUCAAAUUAGUUGCUUCGGAGAGCAUACUCUCAAACUAGGCCUGAGUAGAGUUGGUCAGAGAAGCACUAAUAUCUUUUUCUCUAAUCUUGCUAUAACGGAAGUUGAAGGUUCAAACUGGAGCUUCUGCUUUUGACUCUUAGUGCCAUUUGGGCAUUGUUGUAGGAUGUAUUCAUCAUAUCUGAUGCCGUUCAAACAGUGCUACUGGAGAGGCACUAAUGCAUAUCCUCCAAACAAACUCCUUGAAAAUAGAAGUAAAAGCACCAAUUGGGAUAUUCUGAUUCUGGGACUCAGAAUCUCAUUCCUUCUUCGUGCCAUAGUAGAUAUUCUGGACAUCGUAAUUUGCCAAAUGGUCUACUGGAUGUGAUCACAGAUACAAAAGCUAAGCCAAGAAGGCACUUAAUACAUUACCAGUUCAUCAGGGCUUUUCUGUUUUCCUUUAACCAGUACUUUACUAUCUGACGUUCUUAACCUGCUUGGAACAGAGGAAGCUGCUGUUAUGGAGCUCUUGAGAUUUAUGUGUAAUGGGAAUUUGUCUACAACCUCACCGUCUCUCUUGCUGGAUGUGUUGGUGGCUGCUGAUAAAUUCCAGGUUGUUUCUUGCAUGAGGCAUUGCAGCUGGUUACUUGCUAACUUGCCUAUGACUGCCGACCUAGCAUUUUUCUAUCUCAAUCUGCCUUGUAGUGUUUCCAUGCCUGACGCGGUCCUGCCAUUAACCAAUGCGGCAACGGACUUCCUCGCAACAGAAUUUAAGGAUCUGACCAAGUGAGUAACUAUUUAUGAGACAUUUACUUUUAUAACUUUGUUAAAUGAUCUGUGCUAUACAUAAUAGAUAUCUCUCUAUAAAGUUGAAAAUUUCAUUAAUGUCCUUCAAAACACAAAUUUUCACACUCAGUCGAGUGUCGGUUACAUGAAAUUUCAGAUGCUAUAUAGGUCUAUGUGAAUAACUAAUGUUGCUUAGAUAUACACACCGCGAAUAUUUAUUGGUGGGCUAUCUAUUUGGAUGUAUUGAAAGGCCCUCUUGAAAUGGAGGAAGCAUCAACAAGUAGGUUUUUGGCACGUUAUUCCUUAAAAUCUUUAAUUCUAUUAGGCCCCUCAAAACUUAUUAUUUGCAUGAACGUCCCUCUAAUCAUCCUUCUUUGCACAUUUUAGUCCCAUCAAAAUUUUCUAAAAACCAAUUCACAGAAUGAGGCACAAUGUCCAUUUUGCCGCUAGAGUUCUUCCUCUUCCAAAUCUCCUUCAAUUAUGCCAUCUUCAGUCUCAACCAUCCACAUUGUUGAAACUCUUAUUGACAGAAUAUUCUUUAAAUAUGCUAUUAAACUUAUUCUAAGGGGGCUGACGUGCAAAGCAAAAGAUGAUUUGAAGGACUAUCUUAUAACUAAUGAAUUUGAGGGACUCGGCACACAGUAUUGAAAAAAAUUUAGGGACUAAAUGUGACAACAAAUAACCAGUCUUGAGAAUCAUGGAAACUCAUUUCUGCCCCUUCUAGGCACCAAAAUGUGGUGAUGGACUUUCCUCUCUCUGUGAUUGAAGCUAUCCUCUCCCGCAACGAUCUCAAAGAGACCUCGGAGGAUGAGGUCUACAACUUUGCUCUAAAGUGGGCACGCGCUCGGUACCCUGAGCCGGAAGAAAGGCGUGAGAUUCUGAAUUCUCGACUGCUCCCUCUUAUACGCUUCUCUCGGAUGAGCUGCAGCAAGCUCAGGACGGUCCUUGAAUGCAGCGAGUUCGACAGUAAACUCGCUCGAAAAUUCGUGCUGGAAGCACUUCUUUUUAAAGCUGAGAAACCUCAUCAUCAGAAAGCACUUCUCCAAGGCGAGUCGACUUCCCAGAUGUUCGCCGAGCGGGAUUACCACUACCAUCCGGUGAAGGUGGUCGAGUUCGACCAGCCCUUCCCACAGUCCGUUGCUUUCCUCGAUUUGAAGAGAGAGGAAUGUGCCAAAUUGUUUCCCGGGGGCCGGUUAUAUUCCCAGCCAUUCUAUCUCGCCGGCCAUGGCUUCUUCCUCGCGGUCCACUGUGACACAGGUCAUGAAAGCGCCAGCCACUGCUUUGGGCUUUUCUUGGGGAAUCAAGAGAAUGAGAAAGACCCCAAAAGCUUUACGGUGGAGUACAAAUUCGCUGUGAGGGCGAGACCGUCGGGAGAGUUUGUGAAUAAGUAUGGGGGUACAUACGCUUUUACUGGGGAGAAGGUGGUUGGGUGUGGGAACAUCUUCCCGUGGAGUUCGUUCAUCCAUAAAGAUAGCCCGUAUUUCAUUAAUGAUGUGUUGCAUUUGAGAGCUGAAUUAACUGCAAAGCAAUGUGUCAUGUAAGUGUGUACAUGUACAGUGGACACGAUUUUGAGCUCCAGUUGUGCUCUGGAUGUUGUUUUCUCCACUGGUUCAGUGGUCGGACGCGCGAGUGAAAAGUAUUGACGGAAGUAGAAAGCUCUAGGCAUCGUGAUACAGGUCUUUUUAUUUUAUUGGAAGAUUGUGGAGCUCGACAAGAGAACAAUGUUGAUGGUGGUAUGUGAUUAUUGUGGGACUUAAGAUGCACUUUUGACCUUCCAGCCUUUGAUGUGUUUUUCUUACUUCAGAUGCUGAUCUCGAAUAUCUUUAUUAAUUUCUUUUUGUACCUUUCUUUUUUUAUUUCUUUUUCUUUUCUUUUUUUUUAAUCACUCGCUGGCUUGUUUGAAGUGCACAGAAUUGCCUCCUACGUAAAGGAUCGGGGAAAAUUUACGAUAUAUUGCAAAUUUCAAUAGCGACCUCUACGCGGUUUGUUGCAGGGCCAUUGCAUCUUAAUCUACUGCUGCUGUACGAAAUUGAAGCCAUCAAAUUCACACUAAUGAAUGCGAACCUUCAAGCUCUCAAACUUUGCGAGCCCAUCUAAUAACGCAAUCCCAAACCAGCCAUAUCACAUUAGAAAUUCCAUUCAAAAUGCACUUCUAUGAAAACACCUAUCUGGCCAACUAAGCCAGCUGAGUAGGAAGCAUAAUACAAAUCCAUAAUAAAGUAAAGGGGAACCAAAUUAAAGGCUGAAGGCAACCUCAUGAGAUCCCAAAUUAAAGAUAAAGUGCUAGUUAACAAUACUAUCACAAUUAAAGCUUCACACAGAUGGAAACAAAAAGAGAUUCUAGCAGUGAUUCCUUUCUUUUUUCUCCUUUACAAAGUUUAGAAGAGAGAAUAAAGAAACCUCUACAAGCUUGAUCGUCACUGAACCAAUUCAGAGCCCUUUUCAGAAGAAACCCGUCGAUUAGUCCUCAUCACCACCAUGUUAAACCACACAAUUAUGUAUAAAUAAAAUGGAGUAAACAAAUUGGGGCACAAAUCAAGCCGCAACUCUAAACUAGAUACGAUUUACAUAUUUCGUGGUACAAUAGUCAUAAAGCAGUAGAGUAGAAACAGAAAAGGGGAAAAAAAAAAAAAAAAAAAAAAAAAAAAAAAAAAAAAGAAAAAAAAAAAAAAAAAAAAAAAAAAAGAGAAAAGGAAAGAAAAGAACAAUUACUACAAGAAAAAUGCCCUAACAAAACCGCACAAGAACAUGUACAAGAAUUGGUUGAAAGAGAUAAAAAUUUUGCAAGUUCUAACCCCUAGCUAACAACACAUCAAGAUGCUUUACCUCACUACUCUGUGGAGAACUGGCCAGGUGAGUGUUAUUCUUGUUAUCUCUCUUCCUAUAGAAGCUCUCGGCUUUCGCUGUUGAAGGGUCACUUCUAAAAGCCACUUGUUGCAGCUGAAGCAAAGCAAGCAUGCUUACAGCAAACACAGCCGCGUUCCCCAAUACACCGCCAAUCCUCUCUAUUCUAAAAGAGCUUCUCGCUAAAGCCAAACCGGAGAACAGCAUCCGCAUUAAGACACUUAAAUUUUGUCCCUUAUGAUUUUCCUCAUUCUCACCUGGUUGAGUCCUUUGAAUUUCGUAUAAAUCUUCUGGAGAGACAAAGUUGCCAGCAUUACGCACAUUACCGACAAAAGCUAAAGCCUCUUCAAUGACUUUGUAUUUUUUCCCUUGAUGGUCGGCCAACCUCAUCGCAAGGAUUAUGCGGCUUUGCUCUAGUCUUGUUAUUGCAGCUUCUCUUUCAGCUCGCUGUUGUGAUUGAACAGUCUGCAGAGAAAGAUAAGAGGUAGAAUCAAACAAUGUAAUAAGACUAUAUAUAACUAUCAGAGCAAUAAUAAAAAUAAAUAUGAGCACAACUACUCUAAUAUAUUGUAGUCUUGUCUCCGGAGUAGCUCCUUCACAAAUUUUGACAUUCCAGACUAAUAUAAAGUAGGAUAAUUGCAAAAGGUAAUGAAUGGCUAAACUAAACAAUCCAUUGACAGCUAACAGAAGAAUAAUAUUACAGUUAAUAACAGAUUAUUGAAAUGUCGUUCAUCCUAAGCACCAAAAACUAUGCAGAACCAACGUAAUUAUGAUGAAAAGGCCUUUCGCCGUAAAGGAUCUCUAAAUAGGGAAACGCAUAUCAAGUAUUCAACUUCCAAAUCUAAGCCUACGCAUACAACAUCCAACUUAGCAAUGACAAAACGAAGGCAAUGGCAUGGUUCUAAUGUAGUAGUGCCUUUGUGCGUGAUUAUGUAUUCCAACAAAAUUCACACAAAAUUCCACUCAACCAUUAAUUCACCAUGUAAAUUAUUUCCCACCAGUGGUUUGAACUGCCAUAGAUAUGAAUUAAUCAAUAUAUUAUCAACAUGUAAACAAUAUACAUGUGCAUUUAAUUGGGAAUACUAUUAGGGCGAACAACAGAUCCACACACUAGACUGUCGAGACGAAUGUUAUCAUAAUUUUAUAUCCUGUAAAUUAUCUACCUAAGGAUAAAAUAAAAAACACAGAUCGGCCAAAUGAAUCGAAUGAUCCGAACUGCAUAUAAAUCAAGCUAACGUUCCUCAUGAGGUACUAAAUUAUCAUCUAAGUAUAUACUACGAAAAGGGGGGGGAGGGGAAUAGCAAACAAACAAAACCAGUUCAAGUAGAUUUAAAGAGUCCCUUCCCCCCUACGCAAGGGAUCACAAAGCAAAAGAUGCGGUAUCACGAAGAGAUCAUCGGGAGCUUACGUGAAAGAACUCGAGCUGGUCCUCGAGGUUCUCGAGCGCGGCGCGAAUGGCGUGGAGGCUCCGCGCCUCGGCCAUGGCCGCGUCCCCGUCCAUCUCCGCCGCCGCCGCCCCAAAAUCCUUCACGAAGACGAAGCCACUCUUCCCGUCACCGCCACCGCGGCCGGUGUCGUCCCCAAUCCCCUCCGCCGCCGACGACGACGGGUGGAUCCCGGCCUUCUCACAGGCGCCGGAUUUGCCGAGGGCCUUGAUGGAUUUGAGGAAGUGGGCGCGGGAGAUCGCGUGGAUUGCGUCGCUGAUCUUGUCGUGCAGAUCCCAGAUCCUCUCCAGCACCGCCUCCACCUCCUCCAUCUCCCAUCUCAUCGAUAUCACCUUCUAGGGUUAGGGUUAGGGUUUUGACACCUGUCCUCGAUACGAGGAGAUGAUGACGACGAUGGUUCGAGAGAGAGAGAGAGAGAGAGAGAGAGAGAGACACACACACACACACACACACGAAAAGAGAGGGAAAGGAGAAAAGUUCGAUGCUGGGCAAAUAAGAGAGGCGGAGAGGGUUUUGAGGGUUGAGAGAAUGGAUCUGGACCGUUGAUCUUCGUGGGCUCCCGUACUUAUUGGGGGCCCUUUUUCAUUUUCUUUUUUAUUUUUUAUUUUUCGGCUUUUGGGUUGUGACUUGUGAAGGACACGAGAGACGAGCCGACAACCUCAGAUGAGCUGGUGAGCCUCACAACUUGCAUGUUGUGGUUCACUCAAAAUUUUGUACCAACAAAACAUAUAUUAAAAAAUAAUGAUGGAAAAAAAAAAAUGAUAAUGUAGGGAGAUCCCUUCGCUUCAUAAAAUGGCGCGAGUUUAGAAUUGACGGUAAUACCAUAUUAUUGAUAGAUCAAUUUGAUAGAAGCCAAUUCAAAUGAUUUAGUAGACCUGCUGAGGUGAGUGACGUGCAUAGGACAUCUUCUACCUAACUUGAUUAUUGAUUACUCAAGCAGAUUGAGAAUUUAGAAGAAAAAAUAAUACAGAGCCGGCAAGUGUUAUAAUUCACUACUUUAUUGCACAUAACCACUAAAAGAUUUACUAUUUACAACACAUCAACGCUGGACACUAAUCGUUUAUGUGUGAAAUAACAAGUUAAAAUGCAAUAAUAUAUUAUUCUUGAAAUGCAAUUCGUCCUCAAAUUUUGAAAUACCGAAAUUAAUUAGGGGCAUAAUUGAAUAGCUCAGUAAUCUGCUAAUUGACCGUUUCUAGCACCAGUGGCAAAAGGAUUUGAUGGUUAGUAUUCGAAACCCAUAUUCGAAUCAUAGUUGAUUUACAUUUCUAGCUAAGUUUAUUUAUAAAUAAAAUAAACGAAACGGAUAGCAUGCUACCUUUCUCUCUCAAAAAAAAAAGAAAAAAAGAAAAGUAAUCUGCUAAAUUCCACCUGCUCAUAUGGACCUGUUAAUUAGAAAUUUCGAUCCCUACGUGCAUGCAUCCAAGCCGUCACCUUCGUCACGUUGUGGAGUGGAAUUUGGAAGUAAAAGAGGAAAAUGUUGAAAUUGUGAAACAUGAAAAGGAUAUGAUUCGUCAAAUCAUUAUUUUUUGUGUCUCCUGAGUCCUGACAAAGUCGUUAAGGCUACAAAUUAAACCUUUUGGUCCAUAAAACGCUUCUGUUAAGCUAUGCUCUGGACAUUUUGAGAUCAAAAUUAGUUUUGAUUAAAUAAUAAAAUCUCUAGAAUAGAACCAAAAGGCUUGUCCAUUUAAAAAAUGGGGGGAGGGGGGGGGACUUUACUCUUACUAUUGGGCCAAAAUUUGAAGGCCCAACUUGUGUGCCAAAGCGCAACAUGCAUGGUACAAGUUGGGCCGGGCCUUCUUUGGGCCAACUAAAAGCCCGAUUAGUAUAAGUCCCACCUAUCAUUUUAUCAUUGUUUUGACCAGAAGUAACGCAAUUUUUUCACAAUCCUAAAGCAGAACCUUAGAUAACAUAAUCUUCUUGCAUAUGGUCCCGGCCAAGGCACGAUGAUCGUUGAGGCUGGAGCUCUGCUUGCACUCCGAACCUAUUUGCUUACUCGUAACCGACUUUUAAGGUUAAAAAUAAUUCUCACUUGAAUUAAAAUUCAGGUUAAAAUUAUUCGUUCACUGUUGUUUGUUUGAUAGCGAGUCAAUGGCUCCGAAACUAAGAAAUUUUCCAUUUUUCAGUUAUUCCAUCGAAAAUUUACACAAAAAAACUUUUUCAAUAAUCAAACUUUUUAUUAUGAUAUUCCUGAGAAACGUGAGUUACAUACAGCCGAAGUUAAUUUACGGCGCGUGAAAAAGAUGAAAUUAAGCCCAAAAGUACUUCUAGCGGCCUAUAGCCUAUUGUCAAUCGGCCCAAGCUUCACACACACACCGAAAAAAAACAAAAAAACAAAAACAAAAACAAAAGAGAAAAAAGGGGCAAGGUUUUGGGUUUUUCUUGUCGCGCAAGUUCUUUGUGGAAUCGUCGCCUCCUUUUUGUUUAAUUUUCUCUCUCUCUCUCUCUCUCUCUCUCUCCCCCGCCCUGCAGGCCUGCACGUCUGUGAAUCGGCGAUGGAGGAGGCGACGACGCCGGAGCCCGUUUGCGCGAAGGAGGCUCUCGACCUCCUCAACUGCGUCGCCGCCUCGCCCUUCGACCGCGACACCUGCCUCCGCCUCGUCGAUGCCCUCCGCACCUGCGUCCUCCACAAGGUUCCAUCAUAAACAAAAUUUAAUGAUGAUCGUGAUUGUGCUUUUGAUUGUUCUUUUGCAUAGCUUUCGUAGAAUCAAGAUUCAACUAGGGAUUAGAGACUUUAGGGGCGAAAAGAUCACUAAGCUUAAACCUAAUCCUAAUGUGCGAAAUAUCAAAUGAAUUUUGCAAAAUCGUAGUGCAGUUUUCGUAAUAUAUCUGAGUCCAUGAUCAUGAGAGAUACUUACCCUAAUGUUUACCCUCUCAUUUGAAUGUUAUACAUUUGGACGCUAGAAUUAAGAAUAGACCCGUCUCUCAAGCUCUCCCGGUUAUCUGUAAAUUAUGAGCUUGUAGCCCGAUGUGGAGCGGAAUUCUAACAUCAUCUAGGGCGAUGUGAUGUUCGCAAGGGUUUGAGAUUUUUGAAGCUAAGGUUGUGAAAAUUUGUUCGAUUUGUUGGAUCUAACGGGCGAAUUGUUGGAUGGUGGUUUCAGGGUUGCUAAUACUAAAUCCUAAUCUAGUUGGGGUUUGCUUUAAGUGAUUGCUGGAGUUCAGAAUUGGUAAUUAAGAGUGAGGAAAGGAGAAAAAAAAAAAAAAAGUCGAAGAGAAGAAAGACUUUUUUAAAUUCCUCCUGAUUUGUUGCUAAACUAUAUGGGCUAGAUCUAAAUUGCAAGUAGGGUUGUAACGUAGAUGAGUUUAAUGUACAGUGAAUGAAACCCUAUAUGCUGGUCCAACAGUGCUUGGUUGACUGGAGUAUUGAAGAGAUGAAGGCUGUAAUAGCAUAAAGAAAAAUGAUGGCUGGUUAUAUGUUAUCUUCAGCAAAGAGAGCCUGCAAUAACAUAGAUGAUAAGUUAGUGCGGUAUGUAUCAUGAUGUUUGUGCAGGUAAGAUGGUUUAGUUUAUGCUGCCUUUUUUCCCCCCCUUUUUCUUUUGAGAUGAAUGGAAAGUACAGAACAAGCCAAGAAAAGGAGAUUCCCUCAUAAUCUAUUGGUUGUUGAUGACUACACCUUUGAUUCUGAUGGUUGAUAUUGAUGGCUCAGGACGACACCUUUGAUUCCAGUUUUAUUGAACAUUCCACCAAUGAAUUCGCUAGGAACCUCUUUAGUAAGUGGAAUAUACUGAAUUGUGCUCAAUCGAAUAUUGUAAAGCCCCAGUUUUCGACUGUUGUAUCCUUUGUGUACUCUUAUGUUCUUUAAUUUGAUGCUUCUUGUUGUCGGGAUGCUAAACAAGUACCUUGACUGUGGUCGAACCACUAAUUUUCUGGCCAAUGUCGACUCUUCUAGAGCAUUUGUUUGUAAUGUUGUUCUGUUAUUACUUACUAUGAAAAUAAGCUAUGCGUGGAGAAAUGAGGUGCCUCUAAUGAUGCUAAGAUAUAUGAAUUUGAGGAAUUGUUGAAAAAACGAAGGUUUGUUUGCAAAUACUAGGUGGGGAAGCACUGAUAUGAAAUGUCGGAAGGAUGUUUAUGUAACCGUCUUGUAGUAUGAGCGCUGCAGGGUAAGGACCUCUUUCGGACCCCUGUAGGUGCAGCCGUUUUGUUUUUCUGAGAUGUGGAACCUUCAUGAAGAUUUCAUCAUGAUUGCAUGCCCUGGUACAUUUAAAAUGUCUGGUAGCUUGAAUGGUUUGUUUUUCCGAAAGUGUGUGUUUCGGAUGCCUGGUCCAAUAAAAAUGCUGCUUCAGUACAAAUUCUUUCUCACACUACGAAUGUUAUACCGGAAAUUAAGUAUAUAUCAUCGUAUCAGAACUAAUUUGAAUUUACAGUAUAUAUCCUCGUAUUUGAAUUGGACGUGUUAUACCUUAAAUGUCUCUUUUCUUUCUCUAGAAAGUGAAGAAAUUCUCGCUGGCGCAAAAGAGUUCUGCAGCUGAAGUUCCAGAAAGCAAGGACAAGGCUUGAUUACCUGGGCACUAGCUCGGGAAUUUUUGCGGCAUUUUUUCAAAAUGACUAAUUCUGUAGUUCUCCUAUAUAUGUUUAGCCUAGUUAUGUGCGGCAAAACACAAAAAGGAGAAAAUUUUGAUGCCUUAUGAUAAUUUUUGCUUCUUACUCAUGCCUUUUGACAUAUUCUUCAUGAGUUCGUUUUCUGACAAUUCACUUGCCCUCAUUUCUUUGUAUCUUUCAAUCUAAUGGAGAGCGUUAGCUGCAAAAUCCUUUGGUGAAUUGUCUUUCUUUUUUCUCAUAUCCGAAAGAAAUUUUGAUGCAAAUCCAAUUAGUGUUGUACUAGGAAAUGGGAAUGUUGAAAAGGUGUCUAUUCUAUUCUACCUGUUUGUUGCAAUUGAACCCAAUUGAUUGGCGAAUAGUUCUCGACAACAUCUAGCAUAUUGUAAUCAGUGACAUGCUAGAAUACUCCUUUGAACAACGUUUUGAAUCAUUCAAAGUUACAAAUCGCAGCAUAUAAUAUGGGUGAUGUUAUGCAUUGGUUUUCCUAAUGAAUGAAAUCAAGUAAUUUUGAGAAAUUUUAGGAUGAGAAUAAAGAGCGAAAUGAGCUUGAAGCGAACAUGCUCAGCAGUUUCGAACAACUACAUAGCAAGUAACAAGAGAAAUCAAAUAGAAGAAACAUGGUGCCCAUAAGCAAUGGUUCAUAUUUUGCAUGUACAUUGGUUUUUUCAGGUUCUUUGAACAUUACACGAAUUACUGCAACAUAGGAGAAGAAGCCAACAAAACCAAAAGAGCACCACAAAAGAGCAAUCCAAUCACAAAGUCCAUGUCCCAAAAAUCAACAAUAAGAUUCAAACAAUCCAACCCCAUCCUCUCUAACUUGGUUCACAACUAAUAUCUCUAUUCAGAUCCAUAUGAGAGGGUUUUAGAAGAGCUUGUAGGGAGAGGAGGCAUCCAACGGGUGGAUGAGGUAGGUGAGGACGAGGGCCACAAGCAUCAGCACAUACGCAAUGCAUUGGUCAAUUGAUGUUCCUGCAGAGAGAGGAAAUUUUUUUUUAAAAAAGGUUUAAUUAGUUAAAAGCCGAAAAAAAAAAAGAAAAAGAAGGAAAAGCUAAACUGAGAAUGGGUAUUACAUGGCUAUAUCAUUCCAGAUCAACCCUACUACCCCACAUAAAAGUAGGAUCUAAAUGAAGAGAAUAAAACUUUAAGACUUAAUUAAGAUAUAGAUCUUCAGAGUUGCGUUGCAAUGCUGUCGUUAGCAAACGGAAUUUGUUGUCAUCCAUUUUUUUUCGAUCAUAGAGCCUCAAAAUUGACGAUCGGCGUCAUUGAACAUGAUCUAUAUCAUUUAAAGUAUCUAAAAAUCAAAUUUCAUGUUUUUUCGAUAUUAUUCUCUUAUCCAUCUAAGUUGACAAAAAAAUGAACGACUGAAAAUGAAUAUCCUCUAAAAAUUAAUGAUAGGAAUUUUGUAAUCAAGAUCAAAAGCAUAAAUCUUGUGCUAAAUAGUUCAAAAAAAAUUUUAACCAAAAUUUAAUUAAUUUGGAUAUCUUCACAUAUUUAACGAAAAAAUAUCUCAAAUCAACCAUUAAAAUUAUAAAUUUUAAAAACCUUUAAUCAUUAGGUCAAUGAUGUCGAAAAAUUUAAAAUUUAAUUCCUUGGUACAUCAAAUGGUAUAAAUCAUAUUCAACGAUGUCGAUAGUCGAUUUGAAGCUCUAUCACAAAAAAUAAAUAGAUGACAACAAAAUUCGUUUGCUACCGAUAAUAUUCAAGCUCUCUAGAGCUUUAAUAAAAAUAACAACAGCAAUGGAAGAGCGCGCAAGUAACGUUGAAUUUAAAAUACUAAAAUACUAUUUACCAAGAACUUGAGUGAUAUCAGAGAAAAAAACUCAAUAGUCUCAUACAUAAGCAGAGUAUUGAAUAUACGCGCUGUACCACGUGAACUAUCAUAAACUUUCUCACAUUUAGAAAUUUUAGAGUGAGAGAGAGAAAAAAAAAAAAGGGGGGGAGAAAUGGAGAGAAGCUGACCAUCGCUGGUGGGCGCGGGGGCCGGAGCGUGGGCGGCGCUGACGGCCGGCAGGACGAUGGCGAAGAAGAGCACCGCGACUGCCAUCAACCCGAAAGGAACUCUCGGAAUCGCCGCCAUUUCAGAUCAGAAAACCAGACACAAAAAUUCUCUCUCUCGUUCUCUCUCCUUCUCCCUUCCCCUCUCUCUCUCACACACUACACGGAGAGAAAGGAAGGGGAAAAAAGAAGAGAGAGGAGGCGGUGUGGGAAAUGAUAGCCCUGUGUCCUCCUCGCCCCCUCUCUCCCCGAAGCUUUUUAAGCGCCCUUUUUUUUCCCCUUUUUUUUUUUUUUUUUGCUCUCUCUCUUUGGAUGCGUUAGGGUUUGGAGAGGUGAGGAGGUUAUAUACGACGGGGAGGCAAACGGAGGGGCGAGAGAAACGGGGGGCAUCGCUGUGCGUGGACUGGCAAAUCGAGCGGGGCCCACCCACGUGGACGACCAGCAGAGCUUCCGGCCUUCUCUCCCUUCCCCCGGCCAGCCUGGAUUCCCGGCAGUUCUGUCAUCCUGGCUCCUGGGGCCCACUGCCUGCCCACGUGGCUGCAAAUCCUUUUUCUUAAAUAUAUACAUAAUAAAUAUAUAUACAAAAAAUAUAUUUAUAUUUAUAUAUUUUAGAAAAAACUUUAAAAACUUUGGUGUGGUUUCAUUUUUGUCACUUUAGUACCCUAUAGUUUAAAGUGUUUAAAGUUAGUAUCUUAUGGUUUCUCAGUUUAUCACUUUAGUACCCUGUGGUUUAAAGUGUAUCAAUUAGUACUCUAUAAUUUUAUUUUUAUAUCAAGUUAGUACCAUGUGGUUUUAUUUUUGUAUCAAGUUAGUACCCUGUGGUUUUUAAAUCAGGGUACUAAAGUGAUAAAGUGCGAAACCACAUGUAUUAACUUGAUACGCUUUAAAAUAUAAAGUACUAAAGUGAAAAAGUGUAAAACUACAGAGUACUAACUUGAUAUACUUUAAACCAUAAGGUAUUAAAAUGAAAAAAAAAAAAACUAUAAGAGGAGUAUUUGAAGUUUUUUCUAUAUUUUAUGCCUUUCUCUUGUUAUAGACUUACAGCUCAGAGGAGAUUUUUGACCCUUGUAUAAUACAACCAAAACAUUAGUCAGUUUGUUUUUUUUUUUUUUCUAAAAAAAAUUGUUAAGUUACUUUUAUUAGAUAGCAUUUUGCUUAAUGGGGAAGUACAGAAUUUUUUCUUUUUGCCGGGGAAAAUUUUAAAUAAGUUUGUAAUCCGCCCAAAAUAAAUUGAUUACUAUUUCAAUCUACUAUAUUUGUUGCAGAUCAAAACUAAUAAAUUUUUUUAAGGAAAAGUAACAUGUUAUCACUUUAUUCAUUUACGAAAUGAACUUAGCUACAAGUAAAUAGGAAGCUGGGCCUUAGAGGAAAAAAAUAAUAAUAAUAAUAAUAGAAACUAUUAAGAGGAGAGAACUAAUUCUAUAAAGGCUUAGUGGUUGGUAUCCGAGACCCAAGUUCGAAUCCUAGUUGAUUCACAUAUUUAGCUAAGUUUAUUUCUAAAUGAAAUAAACGAAGCGGGUAGCGUGCUACCUAUCUCACGCUACCUAUCUCUCAAAAAAAAAAAAAAAAAAAAAAAAUUCUAUAAAUUCCUGAUCGAUCGGGUCUCGGCUAGCAGAAAACCUAAUAGAUGUUUAGUUCUCUUAAAUAUUUUUCUAUUACAUUCUAACUAUAGUACCCACCAUGUAGCGGCAAUAGCUGUUAACUCUCUAUCCUCCUAUAUUUCAUAUUUACUAUAGCUCGCAUCCCAAAUUUCUUUACAAGAUGAGCAGCUGCGAAGAAAAAGUUUGUUUGAUAAACGAAGAAGUAUGGAAUUUUACUACUAGAGGGCGUUUGAUAAACGAAGUACGGAAUUUUAUUACUGUAAAAAUUUUAAAUAAAGUCUGUAUGCCGUCAAAAGAAAGACUUUACUAUUUUUAUUUUUUACUACUUUAGUAAAAUAAGUGUUAGUGUUUUUUUUAAUAUAAUAGCCCUGUUCAAAUAAUACUAUAUUGAAUAACAGUACACUAUACAAUUAGGAUAAAUAGGUCUUAAUAGUUUUAUUUUGGUAGUUCUACUACUAGAUGUAUUACAUUGAAGUUCUUGCAAUAGCUUGUUUUUUUUUUUUUUUUUCUAACGAUAGAUAUUUUAUAUCAGCAGUUUUUGCUCUAGUACCUCAAAAAAAAUUCAAAAUUUUUUUCUGCAUUAGAUUCAAAAAUCUGAGUAAUAUUUACUUAUCAAUGGAACUGAAUUCAAUGGAUCUGAUCUAUUUCUGUAACUAAAUAAAUAAUAAAUACAUUUAAUAUAUCUUUUCAUAUUAAUAUUAAAAUCAGUUUUUCAAUAAAAAUCAUCCAUAAAAUACAAAUCCUCUAGCCCCAGCAUGUGCGACUGUGCGAGCCACUACUACAUAUGAUCGAAAGGAGACAAAGACAUAUGGCCAUACGGGAGUUUUCUUUUUCUUUUUCUUUUUUUCUUUAACUCUUUUUUUAUAAAGAGAUGAGGGAGUCGUGGGGGACCAUAACUUAUAACGGAAACUCUUCAAGAGAAAUAUGUACGUUGGAACCCACCAACGGUUCAACGUACGAAUCAACGGCUAUUUCUCAAUUUCCGUAAACCUACCACAUGCAUGCAAACAAACCCUUCAAAUCCUCUCCCUCUGAUCUUCUUUUCAAAAUUCAAAUUGUAGGGUCAGGAUGAUCCAUUUGAGUUAACGUUCCCCUGCAGAAGCCCCGUUGGUAGAGAAAUGUAGCUGUCAAAAUAGUCAUACACAUGUGCGAUUGCUCAUCAUACCGCUUUUAACGAGUAGAACACAAACUAGCUCGAACAACUUGCGAGUGGAUCUCUAGCUGGAUUUUUGAAGCUCAUCCUGAGAUCGAGCCGAAUAUGAGUCCUUGGAAUAAAAUUUAAUUCUCAAAUUAUAUUUAUUAUAUUUUAAUUUAAUUAUUGAAAUUUUAUAAAUAAAUAAGUUUCUUUUAUGUUUAUAUUGGACCAAAAUUUUUAUAGUAAAAAUUUAUCUUUUGCAUAUAUAGGUUCCUGCAAAUAUAGUGAAUGAUAAAUAUGUUUCUAUAAAGUUCAACUUAAUUUAAUAUGUUGUCUCUAUAAAAGUCUUGAUAUUUUCAAAUAUAUCUCUAUCAUUAGAAUCCGUUAGAAAAAUUUAAUUAGUCAUAGGCUAAAUAUUUAAUCUUGAUUAGUUUUUGAUAUUUUUAUCAUUCUUAUAUUAUACUGUUAUGACUUUUAGAGAAAUAUAUUUGUGAGGGCAAAAUUAAAAAUAUAAAUGGUUCUCUAACGGUUUUUUGACGGUAACAAAUUAGAGAUAUAUAUAUAUAUAUAUAUAUAUAUAUAUAUAUAUAUAUAUUCGAGCUAUAUCAAACCGAAUGCAAACGAACUAAUCUCAACUCGCGUCUGACUCGUUAAGAUAUCAAGCUAAAAAAUUUAACUUGUAUUCAACUCAUUUAUUAAAUAAACAAUUCGUUCUGAAACCCAUUUUAAAUCAAAUACGAGUUGGCUCGCAAACAGUACGGAUGGAAUUGUCAGCCCAGCUAGCUUGUUAAUAGCAAGGUUUCCAAAAAUAAAAUAAAAUAAAAAACCUGUUUUCUUCUAAAUUUGGAAUACUGAACAUGUGCUCCAACUCAAUAAAGUUAGUACUUUGUAAAUCAUCAGAAUUAAUUUGGUGCGGAUCCAUUGAUUCAAAGCACAUAUUAGCGCACGCAUGACGCAACAACAGGUUAUAUGAACUCAGCCUUAAUUGAUAACUCCAUAUUUUUCGAAAAUAUUAUCGAGACCAUAGACCUAUGUGUAUUUUCUUUUCUUUUUUUUUUUUUGUAGCACGCGACCCGCUUCGUUUAUUUUAUUUAUAAAUAAAUUUUGUCAGAAAUGUGAAUCAACUAGAAUUCAAAUUUGGGUCUCGGGUACCAACCAUCAAGUUCUUUGCCAUUUGCUCUAGAGACGGUGGGUUAUUUUCUAAUUCUUGCACACAGAUGGUGCAUGCAGCAACGAUUCAACGAGCAACCUGGAUGUGCCGUCAAAUUUGGAAAGAAAAUUUAAAUCUGCCGUACAAGUCACCUAGCGACAAUUUCUUAAACUCUACCAUUAAUGUAGUAGUUACAAUGGACUGAUUUUUAUAUGUUAUCAUUAGUUUCUACAUGUUUUGUAUGGACUAUGGAGCGCACUUGCUUUUCUUAGAUAAAUAAGUGAAUAAUUUUUUUUUUUUUUUUGAGAGAAAGAUAGUAUGCUACUCGUUUCGUUUAUUUCAUUUAAAAAUAAACUUAGCUGGAAAUGUGAAUCAAUUAGGAUUUGAACUUGGGUCUCGAAUACCAACCACCAAGUCCUUUGCUAAUACUUUCUAGAAAAAAUAUAUGUAGAUGUAAUUAUAUGAAAAGAUUCCUUCUUUACACUAAUUAAACAACAGAAUGACCAACCGUCCAUAGCGCAAGUAGCAAAAGAUUUGAUAGUUGAUACCUGAGGUCCCAAAUUCGAAUCCUAAUUGAUUCAUAUUUUCAGUUAAAUUUAUUUCUAAAAUAAAAAAAAUAAAACAGAUAACAUACUAUCGAUCUCUCUGAAAGAAAAAACAACAGAAUGGAUCCCACUCUCCUGUUCAAGCAUCUCAUACUAAACUACCUUCACAUGGGAGGCAGGUGGAAACGAUUUUUAAUAUCUUUUUGUUAAAUAUACACUUCAAUUAAAUUUGUGCCUGUUUGAAUAUAUGAACAUCUUAUUUAUAUAUUUUUAUGAUUUAUUAGAAAGUUUGUACAUUUAGUAAAUGAAAUGCACGGUGAUCAAAUGUAUAGAAUUGAACACUAUAUUCUUCUUUCAAGUUAUUUUUUAAAAAAUAAAAUAAAGUACUUCGAGGGUGAAUUAUGUUAUUAUACUAAAUUAUAAAUAUCAAAAUUUAUCAAAAAAAUAUACUUUUUUUUUACAAUUAUACUGAAUAAGUUUUAUAUUGAACAAAUUAUUCUUUGAUUGUUAUUUUUCGACUUUCAGAUAUGACCUUAAUAUUAUCUUAUACAUUGUUGAUAUAUUGCAAUUAUGAUACAUAUGGAGUUCUCUCAUUAAUUUAUCAUCCGUACAGUUUAAAAUUAUUAUAUGUAUUGCAGUACUAUGCCCCACUUUGAAUUUGGUGCAUUAAUCAAUUCGUAGAUAUGUCGGUAAAUAAUAAAUAGGGCAAACUUCAAAAUACCAUAUCUGUUGUUUCGUCCCUUCUCACUUUAGUAUCUUAUAAUUUGAAAUGUAUUAAUUUAGUAUUAUUUAGUUUUAUUUUUUUCUUUUUGUCAGUCUUUUUGUUAAUAUUUUGUUAAAUUAUAUACAAAAAAUUUCAAAUACCCACCUAACUUUAUUGAAUAUUCACUUUAGUAUUCUUUAGUUUAACUUUGCCGCUGAUUUAAGAAAAAAAAUUUGAAAUUAAUAAUAAAAAGAAAAAAAAGGAAACCACAUGUCACUAAAUUGAUACACUUUAAACCACAUGGUACUAAAGUGAGAAAGUGCGAAAUCACAGAAGUGGUAUUUAAAAUAUUUUCUAAUAAAUAUGCAAUGUAGUUUAUGGAUUUAUCCUAGAUUAACUCUUUUAAUAAAGCACCCUCCAAAGUAGCUUUGCGUUGCCCUGUAGAGAUGGGGUUGUGGAGGAUACUUUGGCCACUAAAAGCCAUGCCAGUAUAUAACUAUUUAUGGAUUCUGUUGGGUUCUGAUCACUGCACAAUCAGAGGAGAGUAGUUAGAGGAAUCUGCUCUGUUCAGCAUUAAUCAACUGUUCAGUAAUUAAUAUGGCCACCUCAAGAUUAUAUUUCUCAGGAGAAAAAAAAAAAAAAAAAAAAAAACCUACUCUUUGUUUGUUUAUUUAUAUCUUUCUUAUUGAUUUGUUUCGUAGUGCUGCUUAACAAAAUUUAGAGAAAUUGAAACAAAAUAUUCUUUGAGAAAUGCUAUUUGUAGAUCCAAAGUGAUGCGUACAUUUUAUACCCAUUUAUUCGAGAUUGUAGACAAAUUUUUAGACUUUUAAAACUAGUAUAAAAGAAAAAUUGUCAUUAUAUGAAAAGAGUAUUAGAUUUGCAGCUCUUUUUUUAGCGCACAUGUAGCGUUGCUCAAUUUCUCUUAGCAAAGAGUGAUCUCGUACACAAUUUAAAUUUAUUAUAAUUGGCUUUGGCUAUUUUAGUUUGAUGCAUAAACAUCUAUUUCCGCAUAUUUAUUCAAUUUACUCAAUGAAUGUGCAAGAUUGAGAAGAUAAAGAGUGCGGUUAAAUGUCUAAAAUAAAUAUCAACCUGCAGAUAAAAUAUGUCAUCAUAACAAAUUAUGAAUGCUAAGACUUUUCGAGUAGGAAAACAAUUUAAAUUAUUAGGGAUUAUUUGGUUUUUUCAAAAUAUGUAUGAAAAAUAAAUUAUAAGAAAAUAUAUUCUAUGGAAUUUUUUUUUUUAUAGUUUUCCGUCCGUUUGUUUCUAAAGAAAAGUAGCUUUUUUCUAGUUUUCACUCUCACAAAAAAAAAAUAAUAACAAUAAAUUAUUUAUAAUUAAAUAUUUUAUUUCGCUAUACAAAUACAGCCUAAGUGUACAUGUUGAGUCGGAGUCUAUAUAUGUGAGAUCGAAAGCGUAGGGCUUUAGCCCCAAAGUUUUAUGAACCGUUGGAUGCGGUCAAUACAAUGCAAUCAAAUAAACUGUUGACCUUCGCGGCCGUUGGUGAUUUGACGGCUCACAUAUGUAGACUUUGGGCCGGUCCACUUGUAUGGCCCAGCCAAAUCUUGACACGUAAAGUUAGCUGAGGCCCAGUACAGCUCGGCCCGGCCCGGUCCGGCCCGGCCCGGCCCAAGCUGCAUGAAUACUGUUAGGAUUGAAUUUUACUGGAUAGACCUCGACCACCACAUCAACCAAAAGCCGGCUCAUUGUUCUCAAUUCUACUGUGGGCCUCAAAAUCUAAAAGCGCAGAAGCUCCAUUGGAAUUAUAGAUAGAUUGAUUUACUAACAGUGAGAAAUGACGACAAUUACGUUAUAUCGUGUCUGGUAUAUUGCAAAAAAUUGAUUACGAUAUAUUUUUUACGGUUCUAUAGAAAAAUAUAAAGCAUAUCUCCGCCUAUUUGCGUUAUAUAGGAUCUCAAUACCAGCUGGGCAUGAAAUCUAUUAUCUAGGCAUCAAGUAACAAAAAUAAAUGAUGUUAUCACUUGUUAUAUGGAAAAAAUUAUUGUUAAAGUCUCUGUCUGUUCGGAGUGCUAACGUUGGUUCGAGCCCAACAACUUCUACGAGCCUAAAAGUAGUGCUUGUUUGGUAAAUAGUUUGUUUCUAUGUAAGUGGAGUAAGUUAUUACAAAAUAAGUUACGAACUAUAGCAUUUUAUCUCCGUGUUAAUUAGUUUGCUUGAUUGUCACUGUUGUUCAUUUUAUUUAGGAGAAAAUCACUUAUACAAAGCAACUUCAUUAACGGUUGAAAAUAAGUCUAAUUUUGGUAUUUAAUUUCUCCCACUUUCAUGAAACCAAAUAAUACAAAUUGUGAAUUUAGAACUGCUGCAGCUAGGGAAGUACGUAGGCACUUUAGUUCCAUAAAAAGAUCUAACAUGCUUAGCUCCCUUGUCUUAUAUUGCACCUCGGGAAAAAGCUUGUGUAUAACUUGACAUAGCACUUGUCAUUUCAACCCAACUUUUUCUUUUUUCUUUUUCUUUUUAAGAAAAAGAAGGCUCGUAAUUGGGUGUGAACACUUCAUAAAGACGCACAGGUUUUCACUGUUUCAUUUGAUUCCCUUUCUUUCAAAUAUUCCUAAAACAAAGGAUGUACUAAGUAGCAGUACUGGUAAAUAUUCCAAAGGCAUGCAGCAAAUAAUUAAGAGAAAUUUCAAAUAUCAUCCCUGAAGUUUCACAUUUUUUUUAUUUUAAUACUCUAUAAUUUAAAGUGUAUCAAUUUAGUAUCAUGUAGUUUUAUUUUUAUUUUUUUAUGAUCGAUUCCACUAAUUUUUUUUUAUUAAUCAGUGAUAAAGUUAAAACUAAAAGAUACUAAAGUGAAUAUUCGAUAAACCUAUAUAAAGUAUUUGAAGUUUUUUGUACAUAAUUUAACAAAAUAUUAACGGAGAAGCUGACGAAAAUAUAAAAAUAAAGCUAUGUGACACUAACUUGAUAUAUUUUAAAUCAUAUGGUACUAAAGUGAGAAAGUACGAAACCACAGGAGUGGUAUCUGAAGUUUACCCGAUAAUUAAUUAUUAUAUAUGCAUGGUACCAGGUAGAGUUUAAAUUUGAUUCCAAAAUCCCUUUUGGAAUGACAUUGGCCACCCAAGUGAGUUGUUCUUUGAAGAUAUUUUAUGUCCUUUUGUAUCUAUUUUAUACUGAGGGAGAUCUUAUGAUCAAGCUUCAGUGCUUUGUUUUCGUUAAUGCUGUACGUGGUAGUUAGGGACGAAGCCAUGUGUAGACCCAAAGGGGCCAUGCCUCUCUCAAAUUUUCAAUAUUUACUUUAUAGUUCUUUGAUAGUUUAUAAAUUUUUUAAUUAAAUUUUAAAAUAUAUGGGCCUAUUUUAUAAAAAAAAUUUAGUGCUAGUAUAGAACUCUCUCUCUCUUCUUAUAUAUUUUAUAGGUAAAAAUAUACUAAAAAACUCAUAAUUAUAGUGCAUUUUGAAAUAAAUCUUUUCAACUUCAAAUAUUUUAUUUAUGCAUUCUUAACUUUCUAAUUAUUUUUUAUGAGCUAAUUUAUUUAAUUAAAUAAACUAGUACGUUAAAUUUAAUACCUCUGGUAGAUAUUAGUCAUUGGUUGUAUUAUUUUAUUAAUAAAAAUUAAAAAAAUUAAAUUCUGACUAAAUCAUUAUUAGAUUUAGUAAAAUUCUUAUGUUAUUUGAAUGGAAUAAUGCAAAUAAAAUAAUUAGAAGUUAAGCGAGUGUAAAUUAAAGAAAUAAAUUUAAUAUUUUUUAACAUUAAUUAUCUAAUCACUAAAUUUUUUUAUUAAAAAUUUAAGUAAUUAAAAUUUUAUUUAUCUACUAAAAUUUUAUUUGUGUAUAUUUUGGCCCCCCUCGUGAUUGAAUCUGGCUUCAUUCCUGCGUGGGACUUUGGAGCAUGAUUUUACGUUUUACCACCAUGCUAUGAAGGAGUACAAUAUUCCAGCAUGGUUGGAGCUGCUCAUUGCAGGAUGAGUUCUAUUAUUUGAUAGGGCACUUAAUGAGGUCAAAAACUCCAAUAUUGGGAUCCUACAUAUGCAUUAGAGUUCUCACUACGAUUUUUAUGUUUAUUUUUUUUUGGUGAAGUUGAAACCUAUAAAUGGCAGUUCAAAGUUGCGAAAUAUUCGAAGGAAAAAAAUUAAAGAAAUGGCAAACACAUAUAUUGUUGACCUUCGGUCCGGAUCUCAGGAGUCUUUUCUAUUAUUUUCCCAAUAUAUCUCUCCACUUUUGAGGAUAUUGUUGUAACACGAUUGUGUGUCAAGUCCAGUAAAUUUUACCUACAACUAUUUUUCUUAAUAUAUAUAUAUAUAUAUAUAUAUAUAUAGAGAGAGAGAGAGAGAGAGAGAGUCCGGCUACUAUACUAUCGAUUGUACCAAGCCCUUGGUACUAUUGAAUUUUCUACCGUUAGAUCUACCUAUUGAUCACUUCCACCUGUUAGAUUAUACUAGUAAACCAACCACCCACUCAACCCUAGGGGACCACUAUCAUCCUAACCGCACAUCCUUUCAUCCAACGGCUAAAAACUCAAUAGUACCAAGGGGUUGGUACUAUUGGUAGUAUAGUAGCAUAAUUCUAUAUAUAUAUAUAUAUAUAUAUAUAUAUAGUAAAAAAGUUUUUGUUAAUGAUAAUAUAUAUUUUUUUUAUUACGUUCGAGUUACUUCCUAACCAGUCGUAUCACACAUGUUAGGUAAUUAACAGUAACAAUCAUGGCAUGUCCGCGUCUAUCUCGCUUUACCUAAACAUAAUUACCCUGAUCAAAAGCAUUCAACACAAUAAAAUUGAGAUAUGCGUGAAACUUUUGCAAGGGGUUGAUGUAACCCCAAAGAGGUGGGGAAUGUGAACGUACGUAAUUGGGGGGUCAAAUUUAACCCCGGAUUUAGAGACUUGUCACGCAUCGUCACGUGUAACGUGAUCCGCUCCCGUCCACACCCUCCCACCUCAAAUCUCAGCCGCCAAAUCAAUGGCUAUCCCCCCCUCAGUCAAAUCAUGGUCAAAUCAUUUUCCCUCUCUCUCUCUCUCUCUUUAUAGCCCAAUUAACCUACACCCUUGCUUUCACGUUGGCUCUAUUUUUAUCCUAACAACUGGCAUCAACGUAUCCGUAUAACAAAUCUUAUAUUUAAGGGCACUUUAAAUAAAAAUUGGCAAUGUUCUAAAGCAUCGGCAAAAAUAAGCCUAAUGUUUAUAAAAACGUCGAGUAAAGAAUCGUUUAAGUAAAUAUGUUGAAAUAAAUAUAUCGACAUGCGUCGAGUAUAUUUAUUAGUGAUGCUUAAUUAUGAUAUCAACACAUGCCAAAUANGCACCAUAGUUGGACUUUAUAUAUAUAUAUAUAUAAAUAUAAAUAAAGAGGAUAAAGUGGUCUUUCCAUAAGUAAAGAAUAGAACAGAACAUUUUGUAUACAAGCGAAAACAAAACAAAGAAAAUGUAGGAACUAAAAUGAUUGUACAUCUAUUGAAACUGCUAGAAAAUCUCGGGAUUCAUUUGCAAAUAAUCCAAGUUUCAAUAUCAGUACGUACUUGGAUAUAUAGUGAAGGAACACACAGUGGAGAAUGGUGCUUUUGAUUCUGACCGAAUGGUGGUUUAACAUGAUACGUACCUAACUGAACCAUCCUAUAGUUGGCUCUUAGCUAUCUAUUCAUAUUAAAUCCUGAGGUAAUGGAUUAGCAAAUAUUUUAAACAGCAUUAUUCAAAUGCUAUAUUUUCUUAUUUCAUGAAGACAUCAUCCCCUCAAAGUUCUAUUUAAACAUCACUUUUUGUAGAGGCUUAGAUGUGCAAAUAAUUAAUAACAAUUGAAAAACGUAUAAACUAUAACAUUGCAUAUGUAGAGGAAAAUCUACGGUAGGUGUUUUACCAAAUUUAAACAUUAAUGUUUAUAUUUUUAUUAUUAAUAAGUUAAUUACAAUGGGUUUAAAAGCUACAAAAGUGCAUAUAUAUACAUAUAUAUAUAUAUAUAUAUAUAUAUAAACAUCUAUUAAGAACGAUGGGCCAAACUUAAUGACCCCACAUAAGCAGGUAAGCGCUAGCUUUUAUCACAAUAUAUAUAAGGGUGUGUUUGGUUCGAGUUAUUCUGACAGAAUUACAGGUAAUCAUGUCAGGAUUACUAUGUUUGGUUCAUCCGCUAUAUAAUAUAGUCGUUAAUUUACGUAGCAUUACAAAUCGAGCAGAAUUACACCGAAAAUAUUAACGAGAUGAAGGUUGUGUAUCUUACAUUACUGAAAACUGGUAAUACUACAUAGUAUGUAAAAUGAUAAUUUUACCCUCCAACGCCCCCAAACCUAAUUAACAGUAUAGUUUUCAUCUCUCAGUCACACGCCCUCCUCUCUCUCUCUCUCUCUCUCUCUCUCUCUCUCUCUCUCUCUCUGUCUCUCUGUCUCUCUCUCUCGCGCGCGCGCGCGCGGACGAACACCUAUCAUCUUCUUUUAUUAUAUGAUUUUUCAUAAGUAUAAUGAUCUUUUUUCUAUUUAUUCUUUUAUGGGUUGAAAUUAAAUUUUUGCAUCGUUAAUUUUUUUUUUCAUGUUUGGUCUUUUUAUUUUAUUACUUAUUAAUAUAAUUAAUUUACUAGUGCAAAUUAUAUUUUAGUAAAAAAUAAUAUUCAAAUGACCACAAUAAGGACAAUUUUGAAAAAAACUAUAUUUUUAUGUCAUGAUUACUAAAUUUUAUAGACUGAACCAAACGUAGUAAUGCUAUAAAUACUGCAAUCCAGUAUUAUAUUACUACAUUAAACCAAACGUGCUAAUACAGUAUUAGUAGUAAUCUCAUGCCGAAAUCGAUCUAAAAUAUCUGGAUAUGUCGAGAUACUCUCUAAUAUUAUAUAACUCGAACCAAACGCGCCAUAAACGUAUUGUAGCUAGGUUUAAUAGAAUAACUUUUGCAUAUAAUAAUUUAAUUAUUAAUUAAAAAUUAAAAGAAACCAUGUAUUGGCUAUUUUUUAUUGGGCUAAAAUAGGUUCAACUUCAUGCCCCGUGAUAAUAGGCCCGCGAGACUAAUAAGUUGAGUUGGGUGAGCCUAAUAAGUUGAGUGGAGCUGGGAUUCACAAGAGACCUAACGACAGGAUUCUAAGCGGUUGAGUCAGAUUGAAGUCCACAAGCGCUAUAGUUGAGCCUUUAAAUGCGAUGGAUGCGCUCUUUCUAUCAAUACAUAUUUUUUGGAAAGUUGAUUAGCGCUUACGAUCCACACUAGAAGGGUAACACAUUUAGCCUUUUGGUAUUUGCACAUUUUUUUGCGGAGGUGAUCACAAAGCGCAAAUAGUUCUAAAAAUAAUCUGCCAUCUUAAAAGAGGGUUUUAUUUUGUUAGAAGCUGUAGCAUGCAAUCAUCGAAGUUCGGAGAUUACAUUGCUUUUCGCUCGCAAACAAAAUUUACUCAAGAAAAUAUGGAAUUAGGACAUGUGUAAUUCAACUUAAUUAAGAAACUAUUUGUUAUCUAUAUCUCCUUUGAGAGAAAGGAUGUGAUCUUUAUUACUCUCUUUACUAUCUCAUUUGAUGAUACGCCGUAGUUGAAGCUUAUUAUUGUGCAAGUGGAUCUCAUAGCACUGAAAAAUUUAUAUAAUGGAAACACUAUAGCUUUCCACUUUAAUAAAAUUAUUAUAAGGUUAUUUAUUGACCUAAGCAAAUUCCAUAAACUUAGUUGUGAGAAUUAUUGCUUAGUAGCCCCACAAAGAAUCCACUUCUCAUAAUUAACUAAUAAUCAGAGGAAGCACUACAUCAAUCUCAAUGGCAUUAAAACUAAUUAGAAGUACCAAUAAAGCAUACAUCCGUACAUACCAACAUUUGCGAAGCGUGGAUGGGUGGGAAAUGUUGAUUGUGUGCUGUGCGGCUCGAAAGAGGAAUCAGUGGAUCAUCUAUUCACUAGGUGUGUCUUUACUAAGUUCAUUAUCAUGAUGGGUGCGGACGGCGUACAGGCUAGAGACCUGAGAAACGAUGCUAUUCUAGUCUGAGCCUCUUGGAUGGUCAGGAAAUGAUGGCAUAAGACGAGAAACAGUCUAUCUGAAUUAGUAGGAUGUUGGUGGUCCAUUUGGAAGGCUAGAAAUGACUUAAUCUUUGGAAGUAUUCAACCGAACCCUAUGCUUGUAACAUACAAGUUUAAGCAACUGUUGAAGGAGUGGGACUAUCUUAUUCCAGCAAGGCAGACCCCUUAAUCCUCUUAUCCCUAUUCUUGUAACAUACCGAACCCUUUUUCUUUUCUUUUUUCCUCCCAAGGCCCUAGCUGCCUCACUCCUGUAGCCUAGUUCAUACUCCUUAUGAAUGAAGCGGGUAACAUACUACUUUCUCUCAAAAAAAAAAAAACAUCUAACUGAGUGGUUUUCUCUCAAUCAAUAUAUAUAUUCGAGGAGUAUAGUACUGAAAUGUCCCUCAAAAUAUUGUAGCUAUAUUUUGUUAGCAGAUUAACAAAAACGAUGUAAAAGUAUUUUUGUUUUUUCUUAGAGGAUAUAUAUAAGAUAUUUGAUUUUUAA